rnacentral:lncRNA from 1 species
CCUCACGUCGAAAUGGUUGACGUAGUCGGAGCGGUACGUCUGUCCGACCACACCGUGGACGUCGUCGGUGAGCGCGUCGAACUUGAACGCCAGCUCGAGGUGCGCGAGGCAGUCAUCGGCGGUGACGCCGUAGCGGUGCACCCUCGAUUCCUCCUCGGUGAUGGGCACGGCGUUGGCCCUGACGCUGAACUUUCCGGCGACGGCGACGAGGACGCCGUUGGUCGCCUUGGUGCGGGUCACGGACAGCUCGGGCACGCGGCUGGACGUCCACUUGGCGCCUUCGAUGAGGUCAGCGGGAAGGUAGACAGGCUCGCCGUCCAGGGUGAUGUCCAGGUGCUCGACGGCGUCGUCCCAGGUGCCGGUCUUCCUGGCGCCGAGGUAGAGGCGGUGGCCGUCGAAGAGCACGGCGAUGGCCUGGAUCCAGGUGAAGUCCCGGGACAUGCCGCUGUGGCCGCUCUUGCCGAUGAAGUGCGCGUUGAUGUGAAGGUCGCGGUCGGAGACGACGCAGAAGUCGGCGUCCCUGCGUCCGUGGAAGUAGAAGGCGUUGCCGUCACCACCUAUGAACCGCGGGUCGCCGCACGCCCCCGGGGUGUUGCAGACUGCACGAAGGCACGAACCAAAACCAUUAACCAACAAAAUCAACGUACGUAAGUAGCUCCAUUGUUAAGACAUGGCAUCGAUCCAGUGGUUACCGCAGACGGGUUUGCAUGUGUUGCAGUCGGGGUAGCAGGACUGGGGGCAGUUGGCGGGGCAGUCCAUGUUCCGGUUGAAACAGUAGGGGUUCUCCUUGCGGUUCUCAGUGCACUUGACCUUCAUCGGCUUCGGCUUCGGCUUCGGGCCCUGGGCGUUGGGUGGCCGUGGCGUGGAUUGCCCGGCGGCGGCCCCCGCUGCGGCAAGAAGGACGACAGCCGCUAAAGCCAGCACGACUCCCAAACGGCUCGCCAUUGCGAGCGCCCUAACGCUGUCAGUGCUAGUUACUAUAGUGUAUUUGUUGCCGAUGAUUGAUCGGCUUGAAUGGGUACGUUUGAAUGCAUGGUUCCUAGGCAAUUUAUAGGCGAUCGAUCGGUCGAGUUGGCAUCUAUCUAUCUGGUUGCUUCGUACAUGGCGCUUGUCAACGCCAAGCCGGAGCGUAACGUGCCGUGCUUGCCGCUCGCUUGAAGUGGAAAAGCUUAUACUUUGCGUGCAUAUAGGUGCAUGCAUGCGUAGAUGGAACUUUAUGCUAGCUACCUGCUACUCUUAUGUACCGUAGGUCCUGUGCUAUGUACAUGCAUGUAAGUAUAUAAGUACAGUACACUCUGUGGACUAGCGUAGCAGGUUUUCAGGGCAAGAUUGCCAGGAUGCAACUUAAUCUUGAUGGAAAGAGGCCAACGCAUGUGCUUAGCAGCCUGCUAAAGGAAGCAAUCCGAGCGUUUAGCCGUCCUUGAUUACAACGUACCCCCUUCGUUUUUAUUUAGUCCGCAUAUUAGCUUUGGUCAAAAUCAAGCUUUGUAAACUUUGACAAAGUUUAUAAACAAAAAUAUUAACAUAUACAAUAACAAAUCAAUACCAUUAGAUUCACUAUUGAAUGUAUUUUCCAUUCAUAUUAGAUUUGUUAUGAUGAAUGUUUAUAUUGUUUUCUAUAAACUUGGUCAAAUUUUAUGAAGUUUGACUUCAGUCAAAUAUAAUAUGCGAAGUAAAUAAAAACCGAGGGAGUACCCUUUUAUUCUCUUGUCCUAUUCAUUUCAUUGCAUCAUUCUCGGAUCAACUCAAAUUUUGAGAAUCUGGCGGGAGCUCCUGUUUAUGCAUCUAGUGACGACUACAAGCACAACAGCAAGUCGAAAGAGCGUCAUUGUCAUCACCUUUAUGUCACCAAAGCCGAGCAGGCCUUGUUGUAUUGGACGGUCAGGGAUUCGUUGCGCUAUGGCCCCACACACCCUCUGACGACACUAUAGACACACCAUCUGGACGGGGAUUGGACAUGGGAGACAUCAUCCUACUAGGGGCAUCGAUCACCGCCACCACACAACCCAACAACGUUGAACCAAACAAGAACAAGAGCGGAGUCACAUUGGAUGCAUGGCGGACCGGCGGCGGUGUCGACAGAAGGAGGAAAAACCUAACCCCUUGGGAGUCACCUCGUGACCGAGUAUUAAUUACGUCGUUCUGCUCAUUCUGUCCAAUCAUUCAGAGGGAAAUGUAGACCAAUAUUUGUUGCACUUCUAUUAUGUCUUAGUAGAUCCUUUUUGUUCUAUGGUGAUUCGUGAUCUAUUAUGAUUGAUUUGAAUUGUAUGUUAUGAUAUGUUGCUAUCCUUUGGUGUCCAACAUAUGAGCGCGCACUUUAGAGUUAGUAGUAUGUUGAGAUAACUACACAUAGGGCAGCCAGAGUGACAGAUAUUACCGAUUCUGAGUAUAGGAAGUUGAUGCAUAUGGGAUAAAGGCAGCCAUAAAUUUUAAUGCUAUGGUUGGAUUUUACAUUAAUAAAUUCUUAGUUGUUGUGGAUUUUUGCUAAAGGUUUCAAUCAUAAGUACAUGUUGUCGAUGGAUUUUGUUGCAUGUUAGUAUAGGCUUCUCUCACAUAUAACAUUAUAAUGUAUAACUAUUGGUCUAGUAAUGUAGCCACUUGCCUAGGGACAAUUCAGGCACCUACCACCUCUACUCCACACUCACUACCUUUUAUUUUAUUGUGACUUUACAUUAAAAUAACUAACUAUUAUUUAGUAAUACUUUAUUAUCUUGCAAACUAUCUCUUUUAUACAUGUAAAAUACUUUUUAGUUAUAUAGUCUAGGUAAAGCAAAACAUUCGGUGUACGCAGGGUUGUAUCAUUGGCAGAUACAAAUUCUACCUUUAGAUCAUUUUGGGUUCGACACUCCUUAUUUACCACCUUCACAUUGAAAAGUAUUACGUACUCCCUGCACUUGGGAUUAUCAGUUGUGCACGCAUGAUGGACUACGCAUCGAGGAGUACAAGUUUACUACAAUGCAGAGUACAGGUUGGGUAAAAAAGGUUCAUCGAAAUCUAUCAACAGGGAAUCUAUUUCCAAAGCUCUCACAUGAGAAGCACGAUGGUGAAAAUGGUUUUGUGGUUUGGCCACACGAUGGGGAGAUAUUUUGAUUUGAAAACCGGGUCUCGAGAAACAAAGCGCACACAGUCAAACUCUCAUCCCACUGAACCAUGGAAAAACUCAUCAAAACUCUCUUGUGGGGGACAAAUGGAGUUAUUAUGUUUUGCCACUUAUCAUCACCAAAGACAAUAUGUUAGUUGGCGUCAGUCCAGUCGGUACUAUGCAAUUGCAUGCUAGUAAGAUAUGUUCUUUUAACAUUUGACUUUUAUCUUAUAAUCAUGAAUUUUAAACUAGCCUAGUUUGAUUUAACAAACGUUUUCUCUCUUCCAGCUUUAAAAUAUUUUUUAUUUUUUUACAACUGUAAUUGUAUUUUUUAUUAUAAUAAUUUUAUAUCAAUUCUCAUCAUUUAUUUAAAAAUAUUCAUUUCGUAGUAAAGAUGCUCAAGAUGCAUUUAAAAAUUCUCAAAGUGUAUUGAAGAAAUGUUCAUCGUGCAUUUAGUUUUUUGGCAUUAUUCCAAAAUAUUUGUCAUGUAUUAUAACAAGUUCAAUGUGUAUUUCAAAAUUGUUUAAUGUGUAUUUAGAAACUUUUCAAUAUCUAUUUAAAAUAUAUUUCUUGUGUGUUUCAAAUUAUUCUAAUUACGUCCGCUUUUGGUUCCUUUGCCGUCUGCCAUGGCAGACGGCAAAGAAGCUGAUUCCUGCAGUGCAUAUAUAUAUAUGACUAUUUUCUUUAAUUUUUUCUUUGGGUAUUAAGAAACCUCAAUGUUUAUUAUAAAAUGUUUAGUGUGUAUUUAAGAUAUAUUCAUGGUGUAUUAAAACAUGAUAUGAACAUUUUUCAAAUAUGCGGUUACAUUUCAGAAAACAUGGCAAAGACUUGUUAAAUACAAUGAGCAUUUCUUAGAAUAAAUGAUAACAUUUCUUUAAAUACCCCCAUGAAACUUUUGAAAGUACAUGGCAUUCUUUCUUAAACACGUGGAAAUAUUUGGAAAUAUACGACAAACAUUUUUUGACGACAUGGGGAACAUUAGUUUUAUGUGCGAUUAACAUAUUAUAAUUGGACAAUGAAAUUUCCUGAAAAGAGGGUGAACUUUUAAAAAAUACACUAUGAACGGAUUUAAAUGCAUGAUGAAGAUUUGGUUUGUGUAAAAUUUUAAAUACACCAUGAGUAAUUUUAAAAAAACACAAUGUACAAAAUGAGGAAUAACAAAGAAAAAAAGAAAUAUGCGAAAGAAAAAGGGAACAUGGUGAAAAAAAGAAAAAUAAUAAUAGAAAAAGCAGAGGAAAAACUCGUAGUUUCAUAGCACAAAUACGUGCAUGAAGAAUCCGGUAGAAAAAUCACUAGCUGGGCCAUGACCCAUGAGAAAUUAUGUGUAGACUAGUGAUACAUCCACCUGCGAUAUUUAGCUUUUGCGCCGGCAAAUAACACAAAACCCAUUUGGCGCCUUAGGCGCCACUUUUAGCUAUAUUGGGACAGGGCACCCAUACCCUUCGAUCUAAUGGUCUGGCCCAUCUAAGGCACCUUCGCGGGAAGCUCAUUCUGGUUUUUGGAAGGUUCCAGAAGCUUCACAACCAUGUUUCUGGGAAUCUUUGCCCAAAAAAAAGGUUUUGGGGGAUCUUCUAUAAGCUUUCGGUCGGUAAAAAACCAUUUUAGACUUUUGGUUUUCAUUUUUCUUUCAAAUGCAUGAUUUUUUUUCAAACUUCUGAAUAUAUUUUCUAAAUUUGUGAGUAAAGUUACCGGAAUGGUCAAAUAGUUGAUCAUAGGAAAACAAUGAAAAUGUUGUUAAGUACUGACGACAUGUUUCUCACAUACGGAGAAAAUGAAGAGAUUGUUGUAAGGACUUACAUCAAUACAAGGUCGUUGUAAGUAGUACAUUGAUAAGAUCCUCAUCGAUGCUCCAAUCGAUUUUUAAUUUCAAUUAAAUAAUUUAUGGUGGCACUGUAAGUUGGAAUUGGUCCAAGGAAGUUACUGUGGUGAAUUCUAUAAGAGAAGGUUGAAGUAUAUUGUCGCUUUAGAAGCAACGAUGAAGGGUUAUGAAUGAAAAGUUCAUGAACUUGAUAUAGUUUCUAGAUGAUUGUGUCAAUGGAACACUGUUCGUAAUAGUGGUUCCAUAGCUCGGUCUAAGGAAUCGAAGGUUCUGCUAGUGAUUCAAUAUAUACAAAGCUAGUUUCACACGAAUUAUAAAUACUUGUGAAAGCAUUAUAGAUGCAUAGAAAUGCAAAAGAUAUACACGAAUCUGAAAUUGUCAAGAUCUGAUAGGACGAAGGCUAUACCACAAGCAAAGCAUGAACAAACACGGGAUUGUCAUUGGCGUAAAAGAAAAAAAUGCUAACUAUAUUAUUGACUCUAGUGCAAGUGGGAGUCUGUUGGAAGUAUGUCCUAGAGGCAAUAAUCCUGUAUUAUUAUAUUUCCAUGUUCAUAAAUCAAGAGUUUAUGUUCUAUGCUAUAACUGCUAUGAUCCUGGAAUAUGCGAUCCAGUGAAAAAUUCAUAUGCACAUGUGGAAUGAUAAAGGUAAAAUAUGAUUCCUAGCCUUGCCUCUAAAACCAGCUCAAGUGUUUUUGCUGAUCACAUUCUCCGGAUCUUGAGAUAUUGUUGAGUGUGACGAUAGUCUCAAAACAGCAUUGAAAAUAUGACGUUAGAAGAACGUCUAUAUUGAAUAGACUUGUUUGUUAUGUUUUGAGAUGCAAUCGUUAGAAGUCAGUUGUUAUAACACGUAGUGUUAACGUGUGAUUAGUUCCUUAGACCAUGAGAGUAUCACAGUCACUUCUUACUUUACGAUGGACUUUAGGGUUGCUCAAACGUCAUCUGUAACUAGGUGAUCAUAAUGAAAACUUAGAGGUUAAACGGAAAGUUUGACAAGGGACUGGAUGCUCAACAAUGGGAUUUGCUCCUCCGAUGAUGGAGAUAUGUUCUUAGGGCCCUCUCGGUGUGAUGGCAUCCAUCAUCGUCUGUCCAGACAGAUGUGACUAGGUCAGAGGAUCCUGUAACAUGUCAACGAGAAAGAAGAAGGAAACCAGCAAGGAGGAGACCGUCAUAGUGAGCAUGGUGGUGACUCAAGAGGAUACUGAUUCAUCUCACCUUGGAUUUUUUUAAGAUAUCUCGAAGCAAAGGGAACAUCGCAUGGUAACCAAAGGUUCACUCGAAUGUCAUUCGUGUACUCAUAGAGAUUCAUAUGGACGUCCACGGUUUCACUAUCGGUCAUUGAACAAAUGGGUUUUGUUCAUGUCUAUGUUUUACCGAACCUACAGAGUCACAAGGUUAAGGUAAUCACGAUAUGCCGAGUGUUAGUAGGAAGAGAAUAAUGAGAAUUCAUUUUUGAAAUAGUUUCACUAAUAUUCAGAAUAGUUUUGAGAGGAACUGAAAACGUCACUAGAAGGGUUUCGGAGUUUAUCCAGUAAUAUCGUGUAUUUUUGAUAAAUAAUAUAUAGGUGGAAAAUGUUUUCGGUGAUUUUUAAUUAAUAAUAAAAGGCUCUAGUAAUUUUUAGGAGUUUUUUAUAUUUAAUUUAAUAUCAACGGGACUUAAAAGGCCAAGUGGUGGCAGGCUACUUGGGUCACUUGGGCCGAAAAGGGGUGGCCCCCCUUCUCCCCAUGGAAAGGGGAAGGUGAGGCCAAAUUGGAGGGGGAUUCCCCCCUCCUUGGCUGGCCAAAGGGGGAGGGUUUCCUUCCUGAUAAUCCCUAAGUGCAAGGAAUCAUCGUAGCAAUUUCCAAAGGUGGAAGUGAUAAGUAUGGAGUGUCGAACCCACAAGGAGCUAAAGGUAAGAUCAAUAUUCUCUCAAGUCCUAUCUGCACUGAUACGACUCUACGUACACCGAACGUUUGCUUCCAUCUAGAAACGAGAAAUAAAACUACGUUGUGGGUAUGAAGAGGAUAACUUUGCAUGAUAUCAGAGAACUAAAAUAUAAAAAUAGGUGCUGUUAACAUAAAGUUAGAAUAUAUUACUAUAUAUAUUACAAAUAGCAAGUGUGGAAUAAUGAUGGAUCGGUGUGCGGAAUUAUCGGCAAUUGUUAACAAGAUUGGUGGUCGUUAUUGCAAUUUUAUAUGACGGAGAGGCAUAAGCGAACAUACUUUCUCUACUUGGAUCAUAUGCACUUCUCUACUUGGAUCAUAUGCACUUAUGAUUGGAACUCUAGCAAGCAUUCGCAACUACUAAAGAUCAUUAAGGUAAAACCCAACCAUAGCAUUAUAGUAUCAAGUCCCCUUUCUCCCAUACGCAACAACCCCCUUACUCGGGUUUAAACUUCUGUCACUCUAGCAACCCACUAUAAGAGAAUCAUGAACGUAUUGCAACACCAUACAGCGGGAAUCCUUCACGUGUGUGCGGCACGGAAGGCACCAUAGGGCAGCACCAAAAUAAAACAUACAACUCAAACCAAUCUAGAUCAUCAAUCAACCCAAAGACAAAAGAAAUUUACCUAGAACAUCAUAGGAUGGCAACACAUCAUUGGAUCAUAAUAUGUGGCAUAAAGCACCAUGUUCAAGUAGGGAAUUACAGCGGGGUGCGCGAGAGUGGACCGCGUAAAAGAGAUGAGGAAGGUGAUGAAGAUGGUAAUGUUGAUGAAGACGAUCACCGCGGCGAUGGUUCCCCUGGCGGCACUCCGGCGCCACUGAGAGAGAGGGGGAGAGAGUCUCCCCCUUGUGCUUCCUCCUCCAUGGCCUCCCCCCUAGAUGGGGAGAGGUUCUCCCUCUGGUCCUUGGCCUCCAUGGUGAUGAUGGACCCCUCCGGCUUCCUUCCAUGGACUCCGGUGAUGAUGGCUCCUUCCGGUAGGGUGCCGGAGAGGGCCUAGAUUGAUUUUUCAUGGCUACAGAGGCUUGCGGCGGUGGAACUUCCGAUCUAGGUUUCUUUCUGGGGGUUUUGGUAUUUAUAGGAAUUUUUGGCGUCGGUCUCACGUCAAGGGGGUCCACGAGGCAGCGGCAAGACAGGGGAGCGCGCCCUCCACCCUUGCCGCUUCCUCGUGAAGCUUCUGGUCCAACUCUUGUGCUUCGGGGUUCUCUUUUGGUCCAUAAAAAUCACCGUAAAUUUUCAGCCCAUUCCGAGAACUUUUAUUUCUGCACAAAAAAUGACACCAAGGCAGUUCUGCUGAAAAAAAGUCAGUCCGGGUUAGUUCUAAUCAAAUCAUACCAAAAUCAUACAAAGUUGUUGUAAACAUGGCAUGAAUACUUCAUAAAUUGUAGAUACGUCAGAGACGUAUCAGCAUCCCCAAGCUUAAUUCCUACUCAUCCUCGAGUAGGUAAAUGAUAAAAAAAUAAUUUAUGAAGUGUGAAUGCUAGCAUAGUGCAUAAGUUUGAUCAUGAUAAUUUCAAUUACUUUUUCUAGCAUCAUUAUAUAUCAUAAAUAGUAGCUCAUCUCAUAAAACUUCUCAUGAUCAAGUAGCAAGCUAUUCACAAAUUAAAGUAUAGACCAUAAAGUUUCUUGAAAACUAACAAACCAUGUUCUUAGUCAUCAAACAAUUACAAUUCAUCUUAUUUUCAGUAAGGGUCUAUGUAAGAGCUUUGAUUUAGCAAAUUCCACAUACUCAACUAUCAUAUAGUCUUCCAUGAUUGCUAACACUCAAAGCAUAUUUUUAGGACAAAUAGCAUCCGUCGAACACAGAGAAAGAUAGGGGCUUAAUGUUUCGCCUCCCAACUUAUUUAUCAUAUAGAUAAUUGUCAACAAUAAUAAUUCAUGAUCAAAUAUAUUUGAAUGGCAAUAUAUGCUUGGAUCUUUCCCCACCACAUGAUGCUUGUCAACUAAAGAAUAAUUGAGGUUGAAAUAAGAAGGAAAACUAUUGACUCUUGCAUAAAAGUAAAUACAUGAAAGUAAAAGAUAGGCCCUUCACAGAGGGAAGCAGAGGUUGUCAUGCACUUUUUAAUUUUGGAUGUGCAAACUCUUCAUGCAAAGGAACGUCACGUUGUAUUGCCCUUUGUGAUAGCAACCUUUAUUAUGCAGUCCAUCGCUUUUAUUUGUUUACCAUCACAAGUUCGUACAAUGCUUAUUUUCCCUUACAAUAAAGGAUCAUACAUAUUUAGGAGAAAUUUUUAUUGCUUUUUGCACCGAUGACAACUUACUUGAAGGAUCUUAUUCAAUCCAUAGGUAGAUAUGGCGGACACUCAUGGCAUGAAACGGGGUUUAAGGGUUUUGGAUGCACACGUAGUAUCUCUACUUAAUACAAAAUUUUGGCUAGCAAAAGAUCCUAAGAACGCACCACAUGUUAGAGGAUCCAUAACAAUAUAAGUUCUAUGCAAAUAUACCCAAACAUAACUCAUUAUGUUGUCUUCCUUGUCUAAUUUCAACUAAUUUUCUCAAGUUUCAAAAUAAUUAAUGGGGCUCACAAUCAUAGAAUAUGUCCAAGAUAGUAUAUUUAUAUCUGAAAUCUCUCUUCGUUCAAUAUUCUUUCAUGAAUUGUUCAAGUGACCAAUGUUGUGUUUGCUAACUUUCAAUAAAGUUUACCACCUAUACUUCUUAUAUGUGAAGUCAUUACUCCCAAUGGGAUAAGAAUAUGAAACAUAUAUAAUUUCAUAUUUAUCAUAUUUAAUUCAUUCAACCAUUUACUCAUAGAAUAUAAGUGAAGCAGGAGAGUAAAUGACAAACUACUUCAAAAGGAUAUAAGUGAAGAUCAAUGAGUAGUCAAAUAAUUAACUAGCCAUGGGAGGACUCUCUCGCAUUCAAGAUUUCAGAUCCAAUGAUUUUAUCCAAACAGCAAGUAAAAUGAAAAUACGCUCCAAGCAAAACACAUAUCAUGUGAUGAAUAAAAAUAUAGCUCCGAGUAAGGUAUACCGAUAGUUUUGAAGACGAAAGAGGGGAUGCCUUCCGGGGCAUCCCCAAGCUUAGGCGCUUGAGUCUUCCUUGAAUAUUACCUUGGGGUGCCUUGGGCAUCCCCAAGCUUAUGGUCUUUCCACUCCUUAUUCUCCUCGUAUCGAUAUCUCACCCAAAACUUGAAAACUUCAAUCGCACAAACCUUACCGGAACUUCGUGAGAUGGGUUAGUAUGAUAAAGAGCAAGUCAUUCACUUUGGUACUGUCAAGACAAGAUUCAUAAUUGUUCUCACACAAUGCCUAUUGUACCUUAUAAUUUCUACAAUUUAUAUUGAGCAAUAUAAGUCAUAGAAACUAGAAAACAAGCAAACUAUGCAUUGAAAACAGAAUCUGUCAAGAACAGAACAGUCUGUAAUGAUCUGAACAACAACCUUACUUCUGUUACUACCAAAAUUCUGAAAAAUUAGGACAACCUAGGAAAUUUGUAUAUCAAUCUUGUGUAAAACAUUCAGAUAAAAAGCACUCUUCUCUGAUUUUUCAAAAUUAUUUUACUGGGUGCAAAAGUUUCUGUUUUUCAGUAAAAUCAAAUUAACUAUCACCGUAAGCCAUCCCGAAGGUCUUACUUGGCCCAAACACCAAUUAAAACAUCAAAACAAAAUUACUACAGAGGUAAUAAUGUGUAUUUAUAAAACAGAACCAAAAACAUAAAAAUAAAAUUGGGUUGCCUCCCAACAAGCGCUAUUGUUUAACGCCACUAGCUAGGCAUGAUAUUUUAAUGAUACUCUUCCAAGCCCAAUUUCGAUGAUAGUCUUAUUCAUACUCCAAAAGAUAUAAGUGAAGUUCAUGAAGCAUUCUACAAUUAAUAUAGAUUUACCAACAUCCAAGCUCAAAAUGUAUAAGUGAAGCACACGAAGCAUUCUAUAAAGUCAUACUCAAAAGAUUUAAGUGAAGCACAAAGAGCAUUCUAUAAAGCCAUACUCAAAAGAUUUAAGUGAAGCACACGAAACAUAAAUCAAUGAAGGACUAUCUCAUACUAGCAUGGUGCAUAAAGAAAAAAAAAAGGAAAAAUAAACUCAAAAGACACAUAUCAUGUGAACAAAACAAAAACCCAGGUAUACCGAUAAUUGUUGAGGAAUAAAGAUGGGAUGCCAACCGGGGCAUCCCCAAGCUUAGAUGCUUGAGUAUCCUUGAAAUAUUUACUUGUGGUGCCUUGGGCAUCCCCAAGCUUGAACUCUUGCCUCUCCUUAUUCUUCUCCUAUCGAUAACUCCUCGAUCUUCGAACACUUCAUCCACACAAAACUUAACAAAAAACCUUGUGAGAUCCGUUAGUAUAAUAAAGCAAAUCACUACUUUUAGGUACUGUUGUAAACUCAUUCCAAUUUCAUAUUAGCAUUAUAUCUACUGUAUUCCAACUUCACCAUGGUUCAUACCCCCCGAUACAACUCAUAGAUUCAUCAAAAUAAGCGAACAACACAUAGAAAACAGAAUCUGUCAAAAACAGGACAGUCUGUAGCAAUCUGGAAACUUCAUAUACUUAUGUAACUCCAAAAAUUCUGAAAAAUUAGGAAAAAGUAAACAAUUUGUAUAACAGUACCGUGUAAAAAUUUCAGAAACUUUUUAUGUUCCAGUAAAAAAAAUGUAAAUUCACGCACUACAGGCAAAGUUUCUAUUUUUGCACUGCACAUAGAAAACAAGCAAUCUAGUAAUCCCUCUGGUCCUUGGCCUCCAUGGUGAUGAUGGCCCCCUCCGGCUUCCUCCUCCAUGGCCUCCGGUGAUGAUGGCCCGCUCCGGCAGGGUGCCGGAGAGGGCCUAGAUAGAUUUUUCGUGGCUACAAAGGCUUGCGGCGGCGAAACUUCUGAUCUAGCUAGGUUUCUUUCUGGGGGUUUUGGUAUUUAUAGGAAUUUUUGGCGUUGGUCUCAUGUCAAGGGGGUCCACGAGGCAGCGGCAAGACAGGGGGCGCGCCCUCCACCCUUGUCGCUUCCUCGUGAAGCUUCUGGUCCAACUCUUGUGCAUCGGGGUUCUCUUUUGGUCCAUAAAAAAUCACCGUAAAUUUUCAGCCCAUUCUGAGAACUUCUAUUUACACAUAAAAAACGAGACCACGGUAGUUCUGCUGAAAACAACGUCAGUCCGGGUUAGUUCUAAUCAAAUUAUAUCAAAAUCAUAUAAAAUUGUUGUAAACAUGGCAUGAAUACUUCAUAAAUUAUAGAUACGCCGGAGACGUAUCACUUCCCCUUGUGGCGCCCCCUCGCCCUCCCUCCAACCUAUAUAUACUAGAGGUUUUUGGCACUUUUGAAAACACAAGUUUUGGAGCCUCCUCUAGUUCUCUAGUUCCAGUUCUAGUUGGUCCUAGCUGAUCAAUUAGAUUCAUACCUAGAACCUCUAAUACUCAUAAUUAGAAGCCCACUAUGGUUGCAAUCUCCUGCCUCUAAUUCUCCAGUGAUGAUUAGCCUUGGACGGCGAAGGGCUGCCGGAUCAUGAAGACCGUACACUUGCAACUCGUAGAGAGGCUGUGCUUUCGGUCUUCUGUUCGAGGGAUUGUUCGUGGGCGGUUCAUGGGAUCGUUCAUCUACGGUUCAAGGGACUCCGAGUAUGAUCUACACCGACUCGUCUACAUUUGCUGCAACUCGGAAUCGGUAACGAUCUGAUCCUAACCGUUCAUCGCUUUUUCAUAGUGUUCCUGGUUGAUCGUAGGGCGAUUUUUUGUUUUUAUUACGUUUCUCAAUAGAUAAGGGCAACAUGUUUAAUAUGUAUUCAUUUUAUGAGUUAUCCAGGAGAGCCUUCUUAUCAUAUCGUACCCCGAUGCAUUUGCCUCUUAGUGCAUACACCACGAUGUGGCGUGACAUGAGACGAAAAAUCCCUCUUCUUGUUCUUCAUGUGAAAGCUCUCUGUCGCUCCUUCGCAUGGUUAUGUCAGUUUAAUAGGGGUCCUAGAGAGCUUAUUGGGAAGACAAUCAUCAACGUUGGAUACCCAGGGUUUAGCUCCAUAAAGAACCUCACACAAAUGGGUGGCUAGAGGCGUGUUUUGAGAUGUGAGCCCAACCUUUGAGCGUUGCCGUUUAGACAAACCGUGUAUUUUGGGAUCUCUGCCCAAACAACUUAAGAACAACAUAUUUUAUGAAUGAUCCGCAAAGGGGCAAUAAACAAAUGCAACCAACAACUUAGGAGAACUAUUUGAAGGAUGUUUGUUAUGAAUUGUCUACAAGUGUUUUGGGGAACGUAGUAAUAAUUCAAAAUUUUCCUACGUGUCACCAAGAUCAAUCAAGGAGAUGCUAGCAACGAGAGAGAGGGACUGCAUCUUCAUACCCUUGAAGAUCGCUAAGCGGAAGCGUUACAAGAAUGCGGUUGAUGGAGUCGUACUCGCGGCGAUUCAAAUCACUGAAGAUCCGAUCCAAGCGCCGAACGGACGGCGCCUCCGCGUUCAACACACGUACAGCCCGGGGACGUCUCCUCCUACUUGAUCCAGCAAGGGGAGAGGAGAAGUUGAGGGAGAGCUCUGGCAGCACGACGGCGUGGUGGUGGAGCUUGUGGUUCUCCGGCAGAGCUUCGCUGCGCUCAACGGAGGAGGAGGAGUUGGAGGGGGGAGGGCUGCACCAGGGGAAGGGUGCGGCUGCCCUCCCACCCCCUCACUAUUUAUAGGGGGAAGGGAAGAGGGGCCCGGCCCCCUAGAUGCAUCUAGAGGGGGGGCAGGGGGGGAGACUCGCCCCCCAAGCAGGUGGGAGGCGCCCCUGUUGGGAAUCGUAGCAUAAUUUAAAAUUUUCCUACGCUCACCAAGAUGCAUCUAUGGAGUCUACUAGCAACGAGGGGAAAGGAGUGCAUCUACAUACCCUUGUAGAUCGCGAGCGGAAGCGUUCCAAUGAACGUGGAUGACGGAGUCGUACUCGCCGUGAUCCAAAUCACCGAUGACCGAGUGCCGAACAUACGGCACCUCCGCGUUCAACACAUGUACGGUGCAGCGACGUCUCCUCCUUCUUGAUCCAGCAAGGGGGGAGGAGAGGUUGAUGGAGAUCCAACAGCACGACGGCGUGGUGGUGGAUGUAGUGGCUCUCCGGCAGGGCUUCGCAAGCUUCUGCGAGAGAGAGAGAGAGGUGUUGCAUGGGAGGAGGGAGGCGCCCAAGGCUUAGAUGUUGCUGCCCUCCCUUCCCCCCACUAUAUAUAGGGCCAAGGGAGAGGGGGGGCGCAGCCUUGCCCCUUCCUCCAAGGAAGGGUGCGGCCAGGGGGGAGUCCUUCCCCCCCAAGGCACCUCGGAGGUGCCUUCCCCCUUUAGGACUCUCCCUUUUUUCUUAUCUCUUGCGCAUGGGCCUCUUGGGGCUGGUGCCCUUGGCCCAUAUAGGCCAAGGCGCACCCCUUACAGCCCAUGUGGCCCCCCGGGGCUGGUGGACCCCCGGACCCCUUUUGGCACUCCCGGUACAAUACCGAUAAAGCGCGAAACUUUUCCGGCGACCAAAAUAAGACUUCCCAUAUAUAAAUCUUUACCUCCGGACCAUUCCGGAACCUCUCGUGACGUCCGGGAUCUCAUCCGGGACUCCGAACAACUUUCGGGUUUCCGCAUACAUAUAUCUCUACAACCCUAGCGUCACCGGACCUUAAGUGUGUAGACCCUACGGGUUCGGGAGACAUGCAGACAUGACCGAGAAGCCUCUCCGGUCAAUAACCAACAGCGGGAUCUGGAUACCCAUGUUGGCUCCCACAUGCUCCACGAUGAUCUCAUCGGAUGAACCACGGUGUCGAGGAUUCAAUCAAUCCGUAUGCAAUUCCCUUUGUCAAUCGGUAUGUUACUUGCCCGAGAUUCGAUCGUCGGUAUCCCAAUACCUAGUUCAAUCUUGUUACCGGCAAGUCUCUUUACUCGUACCGCAAUGCAUGAUCCCGUGAUUAACGCCUUAGUCACAUUGAGCUCAUUAUGAUGAUGCAUUACCGAGUGGGCCCAGAGAUACCUCUCCGUCACACGGAGUGACAAAUCCCAGUCUCGAUCCGUGCCAACCCAACAGACACUUUCGGAGAUACCCGUAAUGCACCUUUAUAGUCACCCAGUUACGUUGUGACGUUUGGCACACCCAAAGCACUCCUACGGUAUCCGGGAGUUGCACGAUCUCAUGGUCUAAGGAAAAGAUACUUGACAUUGGAAAAGCUCUAGCAAACGAAACUACACGAUCUUUUAUGCUAUGCUUAGGAUUGGGUCUUGUCCAUCACAUCAUUCUCCUAAUGAUGUGAUCCCGUUAUCAAUGACAUCCAAUGUCCAUAGUCAGGAAACCAUGACUAUCUGUUGAUCAACGAGCUAGUCAACUAGAGGCUUACUAGGGACAGGUUGUGGUCUAUGUAUUCACACAUGUAUUACGAUUUCCGGACAAUACAAUUAUAGCAUGAAUAAUAGACAAUUACCAUGAACAAAGAAAUAUAAUAAUAACCAUUUAUUAUUGCCUCUAGGGCAUAUUUCCAACAACCCCCACACCCUAGGGUUUCCAACCCUAGGCGCCUUGGGCCCUUGGGGGGGAGGGCGCGCACCAGCCCACUAGGGGGCUGGUUCCCACCCUUAGCCCAUUUGGUACCCCAGGGUAGGUGGCCCCACCCGGUGAACCCCCGGACACCUUCCGAUGGUCCCGGUACAAUAUCGAUAACCCCCGAAACCUUCCGGCGACUGAAACUGGACUUCCCAUAUAUAAAUCUUCACCUAUGGACCAUUCCGGAACUCCUCGUGACAUCCGGGAUCUCAUCUGGGACUCCGAACAACCUUCGGUAACCACACACAAUUUUCCAUUACAACUCUAGCGUCACCGAACCUUAAGUGUGUAGACCCUAUGGGUUCGGGAACCAUGCAGACAUGACUGAUACGUCUCCAACGUAUCUAUAAUUUUUCAUUGUUCCAUGCUAUUAUAUUAUCUAUUUUGGAUGUUUAAUGGGAUUUAAUAUGCUCUUUUAUAUUAUUUUUGGGACUAACCUAUUAACCGAAGGCCUAGUGCCAGUUUCUGUUUUUUUGCCUAUUUCAGUGUUUUGCAGAAAAGGAAUACCAAACGGAAUUCAAAUGGAAUGAAACCUUCGCGAUGAUCUUUCUUGGAACGAAAGCAAUCCAGAAGACUUGGAGUUGAAGUCUGGAACUCCGCGAGGUGGCCAUGAGGCAGGAGGGCGCGCCCAGGGGGUAGGCGCGCCCCCCACCCUCGUGGGCCCCAUGUAGCUCCACCGACGUACUUCUUUCGCCUAUAUAUACUCUUAUACCCUAAAAACAUCAGGGGGAGCCACGUAACCACUUUUCCACCGCCGCAACCUUCUGUACCCGUGAGAUCCCAUCUUGGGGCCUUUUCCGGCGCUCUGCCGGAGGGGGAAUCGAUCACGGAGGGCUUUUGCAUCAACACCAUAGCCUCUCCGAUGAUGUGUGAGUAGUUUACCACAGACCUUCGGGUCUAUAGUUAUUAGCUAGAUGGCUUAUUCUCUCUCUUUGAUUCUCAAUACAAAGUUCUCCUCGAUGUUCUUGGAGAUCUAUUCGAUGUAAUACUCUUUUGCGGUGUGUUUGCCGAGAUCCGAUGAAUUGUGGAUUUAUGAUCAAGUUUAUCUAUGAAUAAUAUUUGGUUCUUCUGUGAAUUUUUAUAUGCAUGAUUUGAUAUCUUUGCAAGUCUCUUAAAAUUAUCGAUGUAGUUUGGCGUACUAGAUUGAUCUUUCUUGCAAUGGGAGAAGUGCUUAGCUUUGGGUUCAAUCUUGCGGUGUCCUUUCCCAGUGACAGUAGGGGCAGCAAGGCACGUAUUGUAUUGUUGCCAUCGAGGAUAAAAAGAUGGGGUUUGUAUCAUAUUGCUUGAGUUUAUCCCUCUACAUCAUGUCAUCUUGCUUAAUGCGUUACUUCGUUCUUAUGAACUUAAUAAUCUAGAUACAUGCUGGAUAGCGGUCGAUGUGUGGAGUAAUAGUAGUAGAUGCAGAAUCGUUUCGGUCUACUUGACACGGACGUGAUGCCUAUAUUCAUGAUCAUUGCCUAGAUAUUCUCAUAACUAUGGCUUUUCUAUCAAUUGCUCGGCAGUAAUUUGUUCACCCACCGUAAUAUAUGCUAUCUUGAGAGAAGCCACUAGUGAAACCUAUGGCCCCCGGGUCUAUUUUCCAUCAUAUAAUCGUCUAUUUUACAUCAUAUAAGUUUCCGAUCUACAAUUCUAGUUUCUUAUUAAUUUUAUUUUGCAUUCUUUACUUUCCAAUCUAUACAACAAAAAUACCAAACAUAUUUAUCUUAUUAUCUUUAUCAGAUCUCACUUUUCCGAGUGAUCGUGAAGGGAUUGACAACCCCUUUAUUGCGUUGGUUGCAAGGUUCUUGGUUGUUUGUGCAGGUACUAGGUGACUUGUGUGUUAUCUCCUACUGGAUUGAUACCUUGGUUCUCAAAAACCGAGGGAAAUACUUACACUACUUUGCUGCAUCACCCUUUCCUCUUAAGGGAAAACCAACACAUGCUCAAGAGGUAGCAAGAAGGAUUUCUGGCGCCGUUGCCGGGGAGAUCUACGCUCAAGUCAAGACAUACCAAGUACCCAUCACAAACUCUUCUCCCUCGCAUUACAUUAUUUGCCAUUCGCCUCUCGUUUUCCUCUCCCCCACUUCUAAAAUGAUUUUCAAAAACCUUUGCCUUUUCUUCGCCUCUUUUCGCUUGCCUCUUGUGUGUCCGUGUGUUAGAUCGUUUGUUUUGCCGUCAUGGCUAGCCCUUUUUCCCUUCCUUUGUCUCCCGAUUUUGAAGUUCUUAACUUCAAACAAAGACAAGGAGAAAACUUAAAAGAUGCUUGGUAUAUGAUGAUAGAAUCCCAUUGUAGUUGCACUAUAGAGGAAGAUUUCAAGAUUUUACUUCGUAAUUUUUAUGUUGGGCUAACCAUAUCCCAUAGACAACUCUUGGAUUUUGCCGCUAAAGGGAUAUUGAAAUUGAUCCCAGUACUGCUUAUGAGAUUAUAGAGGGAAUAGUAGGAGUACUACCUCCACAAAAGGGACUACAUCUUACUCAAUAAGGAACCCAAGUUUUAGAGAAAUUAUGCGAAUUGCAAAAAUCUAUUGAACCUCUUAAAAAUGUUGGCGGGAACCUUCACCGUAUGAAUACGUUGAUCACCCUUUGCAAUAAGCGGUUGGAUGCUCUAGAUCUAAAAAUCUCCGAGCAUGAAGGGAAACGUAAGGAACCUCCCAGAUCCGAUCAUAACUCCAUUAAAAAAAUAAAUACCAAAGAUGGUAAUACUUAGAUCUAUUCUUGUUUUUAUGCCUAGCUAGGGGCGUUAAACGAUAUCACUUGUUGGGAGGCAACCCAAUUUUAUUUUUGUUCUUUGCUUUUUGCUCCUGUUUAGUAAUAAAUAAUUCAUCUAGCCUCUGGUUAGAUGUGGUUUUGUGUUUCAAUUAGUGUUUGUGCCAAGUAAUACUUUUAGGAUAGCCUACGGUGAUAGUUAAUUUGAUCUUGCUGAAAAGCAGAAACUUUUGCGCGCAUGAUUUUUUUUCAUAAAUCACAAAAACAUGCUUUUCAGUUGGUUAUUUUUGCAGAAGAUUAAUAAACAAAUUUCGUAGGACUUCCUAAUUUCUCAGGAUUUUUAGAGUUACAGAAGUAUUCAAAAGUUACAGAUUACUACAGACUGUUCUGUUUUUGACAUAUUCUGUUUUUCGUAUGCUGUUCGCUUAUUUUGAUGAAUCUAUGAGUAGUAUCGGGGGGUAUGAACCAUAGAGAAGUUGGAAUACAGUAGGUUUAACACCAAUCUCUACUCCUAAUGGAUGAGUUGGUUGAAUAGUAUCCACUGUUUAUUUUUGUCCCAUCACUUUCGUCUGGUUUUUUUCGUUGGUUUUUUUUUCGUCUCCUCCCACACCCCACCCACCCCAGCCACCCAAAAAAAACCCCACACCCCACACAAAAAAAAGCUUCUCUCGAUCCCAUCUGGAUCUCAUCGAAAGAAGAGCUUCGUUGCCGGUGUCGACGCACGGGAGAACUUCCUUGCCGCCUCCGACGUACGAUCUGCCACGAUCUCGUUCGAUCUACCUGCUGCCGAUGUACGAGAUCGCCGACAUCGAGAUACGGGAUCGCCGCCGACGUACGAUCUGCCGUCUCUCGCUGCCGCCGUGGUACGAUCUGCCGUCUCUCGCUGCCGCCGUGGUACGAUCUGCCGUCUCUCCCAGAGGAGGCGCCACCGCGGACGUCCGGGAUCACCGCCGCUGACCUGCCAGAGGAGUCGCCGCCUCCAAUCUCCUAGAGGAGCCGCCGCCGCCGACGACCUUCAAGGGAAGACGCCGCCGCCACCUGCGCUGAACCCCAGGGCAGGGUGCGACGAGCGUCGCAAGGAGUACUUGCCGGCCGUACACAGGUAUUCUGAACCUUACCAUCCGAUUCUCAUCAUUCACAAAUGUGUUCAGAUAGUUGUUGCUUGUGUCGUUCUUGUUACUAGAGGAGGGCUCCACUGUGGCCAUUGGCCACUCUGCUGCAAGCUCAACGCUACAGUUUGACAGGGCCAAGGUGGUAGUAGACGAUGACGAAUAUGGCGCCCUGGCUGUCUCUGUUCAUGAGAUUCCCCCAUGGUGGCCGAAUUUGUAUCACACCAGGCUGCUCCCUCGUAUUGUAAAUCAGAGCUAGCUUAUAUUCAUCCAUUGGUCAUGGCUGACUCCAAAGGCAACACUCCUCCAGUCCUGUGCGUGAUGGCAAAGCUAUGCUACAUGAUAUUAUCAGGUUAUCAUAUUACUCACGAAGUCACUAGGCCAGCUUUUGUUGUACUUUUUCUUCAUUUUUGUUCAGAUUUAUUUCAUGCCCCAAUGUUCUGUUAUGUGCAGCUAUGAGAUUUUAUUUGAAGAACCAUGCAAAGCAAUUUGAGAUGAUGCAUAUAAAGCAUAUUCGAUUUAUUAAGUGUUUUUAAGUAUUCAAUUUAUUAAGAGUUCACUCAUCAUUGCCGACCGUACACAGGUAUUCUGAACCUUACCAUCCGAUUUUCAGAAUAAGAGUUGUUUGUAUAAUUCAUGGUGGUUAAAACAGCAGCAUUUGUAGAAUUCCCCUUUGUCCAUGUUGUACCUACAAUUUACUACUAUAUCUGUAGUGCUACUUCAUUUGAAUUUUGUAACCAAAAGAAAUGCAGGCGAGCGAUUCAAGGUUAUUGUUCGAAGUGGCUAUAAUAUGUGGCUCCAGAGGUGCUGAAGCUGCAAACUUGCCGAGGCCAGCAUAAGGAGUGAUGGAGUUAUCUUCUACUUUUAUUUGUUCAUGUUGUCUCAACAAACUGAUUUGUGUUUAUGGUGACUUUUUUAUCUGUCCAUGGAUCAGAGAGGAUGGAUGAUGCAGUGGCCACAUCAAGCGCCCUGUGCUCGACGACAAUGGAAAUGCAGUUUCUCAGAGCUAGCAGGAAGGAGGCUGAUGGCUUCCCGUUGUAGUAACGCGAUGCAGAAGAGACAACACACCAGGUUCUAUUUCUUGUUUUUUGAAGAUCACACUAGGUUAUAUGUGAACAAAAUCUGAACUGUAAUUUUUGAUGUUUGAGAUGUCUAUAAGUGUACAAAUAGAAAGGCGCCAAUUAAUUGAUCAUCAAAUUCAGAAUAGUACGUGUGCAGUAGCUUCUAUCUCAAUUUGGUUUUUAUGUUGUUUGUGUUUGAAUUAAUUAGCACCCCAUACCAUCGUGUUUCUUCAGCCUACAAGGUGAUUAGCACUCAGCAAACUAUUGGAAAGAUGUUGGUACCUUGUUUUUUUUCAAACUCGACAUGCACAUGCAAGAAUAGGUAUGGCUACAUGCUUUCUAUAUCUAUCAGGUUCAUAAAGCAUUUUGGAGAGGUGCAUCUUGUUGGAGAGGUCUGGUAUGCAUAUUUAAUAUUGAAGAAAACAAAAGUUUUUGAUAUAAUAAAGAUUGAUGAAAAUUUGGACUUGACUCUACCAGGGACAAUUUUCAUGCUAAAUUAUACGAAGUUUGUAUCUUGGGGACAUCUUCAUGCCGACUUACGUUUAAUAUUGGGAUAUGUCCCCUCAUGUGCCAGUUUUGAGAUUUUGUUAGAAGUACAUGAUCUAUUCUUAGUUCCUGCAUGUUUUUUCACCUUUCUGUAGAUUUGAGUAUAACUUAAAGUUCUAGAUGCAUAUAAGCUUGUGAGUUAACAAAAGGUCACUUGAUGGUUCUAACUAAAUUCUGCAAAAAUAUGACCAUCACGGGAUGCCUGCACCAACAACUUUAUAAACUCAACUACGUUUUGCUAGAUGACUCAAAUUUUAGAACGCGGGCAUUAUUUUUUGGGAAUGCAGUUAGCAAUAGAAUCAAGUCAAGCUGAAAACAAGAGAUCGAUUGUUCGAUAUUGAAUUUAAUUCCUUUCUUGCAAAAGCACCUUAUGAGUGAGGAGAUUAUUCAAUAUUGUAUUUUAUUCCUUUCUUCUACCCACUGUUCUAUACUGCAAGCUUGCACCUGAUCAGGUUUCUAACUCAAUUCAUUUUUGUUAGAUCCGUCGAUGAAGAAAACAACACAUUUCACGAUAUGAUGAUUGGUACUUCAAGUUUUGUUGUACUUUGUCAUUUGCCUUUGUGGGAACGACACUGCUCUAUUGCUUGCUUAUUUAAGAUCAUGGUAAUCAUUUUUUUCUAGCCUAUGUGUAUUCUAAUUUUCUUCCCUUUAUUUUUGCAGGUUUGAGUGCAGCUUUCAGAUAACUUUCUUUCCUUGGGAUAGUUGGAAUACUAUGACUAGAUAUACAAUGGUAAUGUUAUCAGUGUUAGGCCCUUCCAUGAUUUCUGUGUAGCAUGUCUAGACUAUCAGCGGUAAUUUGAGCCUCUUACUAAAUGGAGGGGCUCUGAUUUUGUAAUAAAAAGAAAUGAAACAUAUUUAACUGGGAAGCGAACUCAACAAGACAAUAGUAUAAUCCUUCCCCUUUCAGAUUAUUCCUAUUUGCUUAUGCAUGUCGUUGUAUAGAUUGUUUGACUUCUCGAAGAAAUGAACCCCAACCUCAAAUGUUGUGUCACCAUUGAGGACAUCUAGCUGCUUGUUGUUCUUUAGUUACUGUUGCUCUUAAGAUUAAUGUGUUAGAUAUUCUUAGGAUAGAAAUUUUAUGGAAUUUAAUGAUCAUUCAUUUAAAAAAAUAUACAUGAUAUUUCCUGUAAAAGGUUGCCUUCCAAUUUAUGGCCUGCUAUUAAAGGGGAGUUACUAGGUCAUUUCCAUAACCUCGAUCGAUCCUAACCUCCUCUAUUUUUUAUUUUUAACCUUGCAGCGAUUCCUGACUCCCACCGAUUUUCUAGGAACAGAUGCCCAUCCUCCCAUGUCUGGUUUUUAGUUUGUUAUGGAAUAUUAACUAUUAUCUAUACUCCUAAAGGGGAGUUUGCGGCGGUGAUGGUAUGGUUUGAUUUAGUUCGUUUCGUUCCUCUGAAUGAAGGAUAUCGAUCGAUAUUUUCCAAACAUAACCCAUCUCCUUUUUGGUCUUUCCUACCGAUUUCCUGCCAAAAAGAACGCCUGGAAAAUCAGCCCACACUACCAAAAUUAUUUCCCCUAGCUUCUCCUAAUCGUUCUGGAGCGGCGACACACAGUGGUGAUGGUGAGCUAUGUAGGUCAGCGCCUCCUCUCAUCUCUCUGCCCGGGAGCCCUGGCCUCUCCUUUCUGUGUGUGCAAGUGAUGGCAGCGGGGGAUCUGUCGUGGUUUUGUCACGGCAGAUGUCCUAGUGAAAGGACUUAGUCGUGGAGCCAUCGCGAUGGGUUAGCUUAAAGGAGUUAAAGCGGACAAAGGACGCAGAGAGUUUUAUACUGGUUCGGCCCCUUGCGGUGAUGGUAAAGGCCUAAUCCAGUUGUUGUGGAAUUGCUAGGGUUUCUAUGACCAGGGAGCGAAUCCGCUAUGCCUGGCUCUCGAGUUGUUGUUUGUUGUUCCUAAACCGCUGCCGGGUCGUCCCUUUAUAUACAUAGGUUGACGCCCGUCGGUUUACAGAAUCCGGAGGCCGGCUCAUAAACGUGUCCGGCUCGGUUUCUGCUCUUUCUAUCUUACAACACAAAUUUACAUAUCAAUGACGGUUUAUGUCUAUUGGCUUUAAUCCGGCUUUGGGCCCUGGGCCUUUGUAAAGCGCCACACUCCUUGUCUUCAUGUGCUUCAAAUAUAAAUAACUCGUUAUGGGGAUAACCCGGCCUCUCCUGGCCGGUUUAUACCCAGUAGUAAUAUCCCCAACAGGAUCCGGGGAACGCGGGCCGGUGGCGGACGGGAAUGGGGACCAGUGGCAGCAGGGAAUGAGAUCUGGUCGCAGUCUACUCCCUCCCUCUCUCUCUCUCUCUCUCUACCCGGUGCUGGUGUCGCCGAUGCAGUACCAAGUCAGGGUGAUCUUAGCCUUCUUCAAGGUGUCAGACAGAACUGAAGAAGAUGACGGUGCCAUCAGAGACUUUGUGAUGCAAACGAAUCAUCUCUGUAACUUUGUGAUACAAUAUAAACUUUACAAUAUAGUUGGUUUCCUAUGCAAUAUAAACUUGACAUCUUCGUCUUUUUUUAUUUAUAUACAAGGGAUGGUGACUAUGUUAUUGUCAAUGGUGGUCUGACCUAUGACCCAUUUGACAUUGGUUAGCUACAUUUUAAUCUUACUUUAUAUGAAUUCUUGUCAGGCUUGUAAACAACUACAAUGAUAUUACACAUCACUUUCUGUACUACAUUUAUGUGCAUUUGGAUCUCGCCAAGGCUAAGGUACUGUGAUUCAAGCUUUUCUUUCUAGGAUUUUAUUUUGUACAAACUGAAGAUAUCUAUGAUUUCUGAAGAUGCUUUCAUUUCUUUGGAUCUUUUAUUGUUGGUAGAAAUCUGCGUCGCAGCCCCAACUAAUGCAUCAACUUGGAACCAAGGUCCACCCUCUAAUAAUCAGGUAGUUUGAGGAAGCAUAUGAUCAUCUUACUACUAUAGAUCCUCAACAACCUCUGCAUCUGGGAAUGCUGUCAGGAAAGGGUUAUCUGAUAUGGUCAUGAAUGUUGAUUUAACUUGAAUACUUGCAUAUAUGCCACAUGUCACGUGUCAGCAUAUUUGAUCUAAUAUGAUAUUUGAUUUAACUGUAAAUGACUGUUUUUUCACACAAUUGCAGCAUAUAUGCCGCAUGUCAGCCUCAUGGGGAUCAAACAGAUGAGGAGAAGGAGGCAGCAAGGAAGAAGGUAGAGGAGAUGGACACCUGAUCUGCAAGUUCCUGAAUUUCAACGUUUAUUGCGUGUUGCUGUGUUAAUAUUGGGUGCAGCAAUUCCACAACUCUGGGAAGAGCUUCUGCUGGAGGGCGUCACCUGCGGCAUCACCUGCAUCGACCUCUCGCUGAUUACCAUCCCAAGGAUGCGCGACCGACUGGCGGAGCAGGGCACCAGUGAGAAGUUCACCAAUUUGGUUGACUCACCGUUCCCUUCCUCUGUCCACGCAAUGCCGCUCGUUGUUGUUAGGUCGUUAAUUCAUCAGACCCCUUAUUGCGCUACAUAGUUUGUUCAUCUCGCAUGCCUUUUUAGGAGAAAUCAUGUACCGAAGAUAAGCUAUUCUUUAUUUACAUUUUAUUUAUUUCUUCCUGCUACUUGUACGAUUUGCUUUGGAAAUCUUCUGACUACUUGCAUGAAUUUUAGUUCCUACUUGUACAGUUGCCUGCAUUUUGUGUUUGAGAAACAUCUGCUGAUUAAGUGUAAAAUAAUACUUGCAAGUUCUGUUUGUUGACUGCGCCAUGAUAAGCUUUAGGCCUUCAGCUGUACAAAACUGCUAAAGUAGGUGACAACCACCUGCAGCUCAAUCCUUGUUUUUCUCAACAUUGGCAAGGUAAAGUAAAUGUGGAGCCAAGAUCGAUUGUUGUAAGCCUUUUACUGACUAUGAGCAAGGGGAUCUAGAGAGGAGCACUGCAAUAUGAGAAUGCCCUUCGUUAGCUCUGAUUUUCCCUUUUUGUAACACUAGCUUAGAGAGAUUUUCCCUUUAUGUUUUAGAAAUGUUAACAUUGUACUGCUUAUUUGUAAUGAUGAUGAUCUAAUUUCACAUGAUGAUCAUGGAAAAGCAGCAGCUCACAUCGUACUCUCUCUAUGAUUAGCUUGUCCUUUGUUAACCUGAAGAAGCAAGCUUAAAAUUCUUAACACAGAUGUUCCUAAAAUAACAAGAUGAAAUCUUGAUUUUUCUUGUUAUGACAAGAAGGAAUCAUAAUUGACUUACUGUAUAAUUGUCAUCAAUCCAACCCUACUUUCUGAUUUAUUAUUGUUUGAAUAUGUGAAUAAAUUUACUUUUGGUCCAUUUCCUAACUUGCUAAUUGCCUUCUUACAGCUCACGGUGGAUCUGUGUAUGAAAAUAUGAUCGGGCAUAAACAUGAAAGAACUCGGAACUAAACUGUAAUUCAUGUGUGCAUUGAGCUAAACUAAUUUUUAGACGUUGCAACAAGUUGUAAAACUGAGAUUAAUGCUUUAAAUUUAUAUCCAAUUACUUAGUAAGAACUACGAGUAGGUUACUUGAAGUGUCCAUCAGUAGUAUUUUGUAGGUACAACAGUUUAAUUGAGUCUAUCAUUGACAUGAGAUUUUGUGGGAUGUCCACUUGUCCCAUAAAAAAAUAUGUGGACACAUGCAUGCCUCCCACUUAUAUUAUGCGACAGUUGUGGAUGGGGGUAGGGGUUAGUCUGUUUAGUUAUGUCUGAGCGGAAUAAUUUCCCUACUCAAGAAAACGUGGCAACUUAUGUUUCAUUAGAGAUGGCUUUGUAGCAAAUUGCAUGAUCGAGUGAUUCAUAUUUUUUCCAUCAAGUCGUAUAAUUUGUUUGGUUAGGAUAGAAAGGUAAAUGCAUUGGUUGGUUGCUUCAAGGGUUAAUAACGGACAUAGCGGAACGUGGCAAUGGGUGUGGAGACAUCGAAUAUGUGUUCUUGGCUCGGGCGCAUCAUGGUUGGCGCACGCCUCCUCCCCCUUGAUGAAGGCCGGAGGAUCGACACAAACACGUGGAGAGGGGAUCAUGGUGGAGAGUGAGCGGUUGGCGGGGGACUCCUCGGCGGUCCGUGGGGAAGUACCGUGAAAAGGAGAGAGGACGCCAUGGUGAAGGUGAGGUGGAGGUCAUCCAGUUUUAAAAGGAGCGGGCUCCAGUGAGAAAUGUCCUACUACGGUGGGAAACGGAGCGGGAAGGGAUGGGUCAGGUAGGAAAAGAGAAGAUGCGUCGUAGGGUGGGGUUUUUGUGUUGGGACAUUCAUUUGUCGUUUGGGAUAAUUUCCCUUAUAAAGAAACAAAAGAGUCAAAGAAAGCAUAGAAAAUGUUUCCCGUCUGAACAACCAUGUAUUUCUUCAUGUAUGGUCUGGAUUUGGGGCAGUCCGGACGGUUGGAUUUUGGAGAAUCCGUUGGGUGCUCAUUUGAUGUCCGAACACAUCCGGACGUAUGAGGGAUAAAUGAGUUUCGGUGUCCGAACACGUCCGGAUGUAUGAGGGAUAAAUGAGUUUCGGCUUUGGAGACAACGUUUAUCAUUUGUUUCCUUCAUUUAUAUGUAUUAUAGCCCGUAGCAAUGCACAUGCAUUCUACUAGUAUAAAUAAAGCAUGAGUUCAUUACAGUACCUUAAAGUGGUGGUUUAUUUUCUUAUACUAACGGAGCUCAUGAGAUUUUCUGUUGAAGUUUUGUGUUGUGAAGUUUUCAAGUUUUUGGGUAAAGAUUUGAUGGAUUUUGGAAUAAGGAGUGGCAAGAGCCUAAGCUUGGGGAUGCCCAAGGCACCCCAAGGUAAAAUUCAAGGACAACCAAAAGCCUAAGCUUGGUGAUGCCCCGGAAGGCAUCCCCUCUUUCGUCUCCAUCUAUCGGUAACUUUACUUGAGGCUAUAUUUUUAUUCACCACAUGAUAUGUGUUUUGCUUGGAGCGUCUUGUAUGAUUUGAGUCUUUGCUUUUUAGUUUACCACAAUCAUCCUUGCUGUACACAUCUUUUGGGAGAGACACACAUGAAUCGGAAUUUAUUAGUAUACUCUAUGUGCUUCACUUAUAUCUUUUGAGCUAGAUAAUUUUGCUCUAGUGCUUCACUUAUAUCUUUUUAGAGCACGGUGGUGGUUUUAUUUUAUAGAAAUUAUUGAUCUCUCAUGCUUCACUUAUAUUAUUUUGAGAGUCUUUUAGAAUAGCAUGGUAAUUUGCUUUGGUUAUAAAAUUAGUCCUAAUAUGAUGGGCAUUCAAGAUGGGUAUAAUAAAAACUUUCAUAUAGAGUGCAUUGAAUACUAUGAGAAGUUUGAUACUUGAUGAUUGUUUUGAGAUAUGAAGAUGGUGAUAUUAGAGUCGUGCUAGUUGAGUAAUUGUGAAAUUGAGAAAUACUUGUGUUGAGGUUCGCAAGUCCCGUAGCAUGCACGUAUGGUAACCGUUGUGUGACAAAUUUGAAGCAUGAUGUGUUUCUUUGAUUGCCUUCCUUAUGAGUGGCGGUCGGGGACGAGCGAUGGUCUUUUCCUACCAAUCUAUCCCCCUAGGAGCAUGCGCGUAGUGCUUAGUUUUGAUGACUUGCAGAUUUUUGCAAUAAGUAUGUGAGUUCUUUAUGACUAAUGUUGAGUCCGUGGAUUAUACGCACUCUCACCCUUCCACCAUUGCUAGCCUCUCUUGUGCCGCGCAACUUUCGCCGGUACCAUAAACCCAUCAUUCACCUUCCUCAAAACAGCCACCAUACCUACCUAUUAUGGCAUUUCCAUAGCCAUUCCGAGAUAUAUUGCCAUGCAACUUUCCACCGUUCCGUUUAUUAUGACACGCUUCAUCAUAGUCAUAUUGCUUUGCAUGAUCAUGUAGUUGACAUCGUAUUUGUGGCAUGACCACCAUUCAUAAUUUUUUCAUACAUGUCACUCUUGAUUCAUUGCACAUCCCGGUACACCGUCGGAGGCAUUCACAUAGAGUCAUAUUUUGUUCUAAGUAUCGAGUUGUAAUUCUUGAGUUGUAAGUAAAUAAAAGUGUGAUGAUCUUCAUUAUUAGAGCAUUGUCCCAUGUGAGGAAAGGAUGAUGGAGACUAUGAUUCCCCCACAAGUCGGGAUGAGACUCCGGACAAAAAAAAGAGGCCACAAAAAGAAGGAGAAGGCCCAAAUAAAAAAAUGACGAGAGAAAAAGAGAGAAGGGACAAUGUUACUAUCCUUUUACCACACUUGUGCUUCAAAGUAGCACCAUGAUCUUCAUGAUAGAGAGUCUCUUAUGUUGUCACUUUCAUAUACUAGUGGGAAUUUUUCAUUAUAGAACUUGGCUUGUAUAUUCCAAUGAUGGGCUUCCUCAAAUUGCCCUAGGUCUUCAUGAGCAAGAAAGUUGGAUGCACACCCACUUACUUUCUUUUGUUGAGCUUUCAUACACUUAUAGCUCUAGUGCAUCCGUUGCAUGGCAAUCCCUACUCACUCACAUUAAUACCUAUUGAUGGGCAUGCAUCUCCACAGCCCAUUGAUACGCCUAGUUGAUGUGAGACUAUCUUCUCCUUUUUGUCUUCUCCACAACCACCAUUCUAUUCCACCUAUAGUGCUAUGUCCAUGGCUCGCGCUCAUAUAUUGCGUGAAAGUUGAAUAAAGUUUGAGAAUACUAAAGUAUGAAAAAAUUGCUUGGCUUGUCAUCGGGGUUGUGCAUGAUUGGAGCAUUUUAUGUGAAGAAGAUCGAGCAUAGCCAAACUAUAUGAUUUUGUAGGGAUGAUCUUUCUUUGGCUAUGUUAUUUUGAGAAGACAUAAUUGCUUGGUUAGUAUACUUGAAGUAUUAUUAUUUUUAUGUCAAUAUUAAACUUUUGUCUUGAAUCUUUCGGAUCUGAGCAUUCAUGCCACAAUAAAGGAAAUUACAUUGAAAAAUAUGUUAGGUAGCAUUCCACAUCAAAAAUUCUAUUUUUAUCAUUUACCUACUCGAGGACGAGCAGGAAUUACGCUUGGGGAUGCUUGAUACGUCUCCAACGUAUCUAUAGUUUUUGAUUAUUCCAUGCUAUUAUAUUAUCUGUUUUGGAUGUUUAAUGGGCUUUAAUAUGCUCUUUUAUACUAAUUUUAGGACUAACCUAUUAACCGAAGGCCCAGGGCCAGUUUCUGUUUUUUUGCCUAUUUCAAUGUUUUGCAGAAAAGGAAUACCAAACAGAAUCCAAACGGAAUGAAACCUUCGCGAUGAUCUUUAUUGGAACGAAAGCAAUCCAGAAGACUUGGAGUUGAAGUCUGGAACUCCGCGAGGCGGCCACGAGGCAGGAGGGCGCACCCCACCCUCGUGAGCCCCACGGAGCUCCACCGACGUACUUCUUUCGCCUAUAUAUACUCUUAUACCCUAAAAACAUCAGGGGAGCCACGAAACCACUUUUCCACCACCGCAACCUUCUGUACCCGUGAGAUCCCAUCUUGGGGCCUUUUCCGGCGCUCUACCGGAGGGGGAAUCGAUCACGGAGGGCUUUUGCAUCAACACCAUAGCCUCUUCGAUGAUGUGUGAGUAGUUAUUAGCUAGAUGGCUUCUUCUCUCUAUUUGAUUCUCAAUACAAAGUUCUCCUCGAUGUUCUUGGAGAUCUAUUCGAUGUAAUACUCUUUUGCGGUGUGUUUGCUGAGAUCCGAUGAAUUAUGGAUUUAUGAUCAAGUUUAUCUAUGAAUAAUAUUUGGUUCAUCUCUGAAUUCUUAUAUGGUUGAUUUGAUAUCUUUGCAAGUCUCUUCGAAUUAUCGGUUUAGUUUGGCCUACUAGAUUGAUCUUUCUUGCAAUGGGAGAAGUGCUUAGCUUUGGGUUCAAUCUUGCGGUGUCCUUUCCCAGUGACAGUAGGGGCAGCAAGGCACGUAUUGUAUUGUUUCCAUCGAGGAUAAAAAGAUGGGGUUUAUAUCAUAUUGCUUGAGUUUAUCCCUCUACAUCAUGUCAUCUUGCUUAAUGCGUUACUCUGUUCUUAUGAACUUAAUACUCUAGAUGCAUGCUGGAUAGCGGUCGAUGUGUGGAGUAAUAGUAGUAGAUGCAGAAUCGUUUCAGUCUACUUGACACGGACGUGAUGCCUAUAUUCAUGAUCAUUGCCUAGAUAUUCUCAUAACUAUGCGCUUUUCUAUCAAUUGCUCGACAGUAAUUUGUUCACCCACCGUAAUAUAUGCUAUCUUGAGAGAAGCCACUAGUGAAACCUAUGGCCCCCGGGUCUAUUUUCCAUCAUAUAAUCUUCUAUUUUACAUCAUAUAAGUUUCCGAUCUACAAUUCUAGCUUCCUAUUUAUUUUAUUUUGCAAUCUUUACUUUCCAAUCUAUACAACAAAAAUACCAAAAAUAUUUAUCUUAUUAUCUUUAUCAGAUCUCACUUUUGCGAGUGACCGUGAAGGGAUUGACAACACCUUUAUCGCGUUGGUUGCAAGGUUCUGGAUUGUUUGUGCAGGUACUAGGUGACUUGCGUGUUAUCUCCUACUGGAUUGAUACCAUGGUUCUCAAAACUGAGGGGAAAUACUUACGCUACUUUGCUGCAUCACCCUUUCCUCUUCAAGGGAAAACCAAUGCAUGCUCAAGAGGUAGCAAUGACCGAGACACCUCUCCGGCCAAUAACCAAUAGCGGGAUCUGGAUACCCAUACUGGCUCCCACAUGUUCCACGAUGAUCUCAUCGGAUGAACCACGAUGUCGGGGAUUCAAUCAAUCCCGUAUACAAUUCCCUUUCUCCAUCGGUAUGUUACUUGCCCGACAUUCGAUCAUCGGUAUCCAGAUACGUUGUUCAAUCUCGUUACCGGCAAGUCUCUUUACUCAUUCCGUAACACAUGACCCCAUGACUAACUCCUUUAGUCACAUUGACCUCAUUAUGAUGAUGCAUUACCGAGUGGGCCCAGAGUACCUCUCUAUCAUACGGAGUGACAAAUCCCAGUCUCGAUUCGUGCCAACCCAACAGACACUUUCGGAGAUACUUGUAGUGCACCUUUAUAGUCACCCAGUUACGUUGCGACUUUGAUACACCCAAAGCAUUCCCACGGUAUCCGGGAGUUGCACAAUCUCAUGGUCUAAGGAAAAGAUACUUGACAUUAGAAAAGCUCUAGCAAACGAACUACUCGAUCUUGUGCUGUGCUUAGGAUUGGGUCUUGUCCAUCACAUCAUUCUCCUAAUGAUGUGAUCCCGUUAUCAAUGACAUCCAAUGUCCAUGGUCAGGAAACCAUAACCAUCUAUUGAUCAACGAGCUAGUCAACUAGAGGCUCACUAGGGACAUGUUGUGGUCUAUGUAUUCACACAUGUAUUACGGUUUUCGGUUAAUACAAUUAUAGCAUGAACAAUAGACAAUUAUCAUGAACACGGAAAUAUAAUAAUAACCAUUUUAUUAUUGCCUCUAGGGCAUAUUUCCAACAGUCUCCCACUUGCACUAGAGUCAAUAAUCUAGUUACAUUAUGAUGAAUCGAACACCCAUAGAGUUCUGCUGUUGAUCAUGUUUUGCUCGUGAAAGAGGUUUAGUCAACAGAUCCGCGACAUUCAAAUCCGUAUGUACUUUACAAAUAUCUAUGUCUCCAUCCUGAAUAUAUUCACGAAUGGAGUUGAAGCAUCGCUUGAUGUGCUUGGUCUUCUUGUGAAACCUGGGCUCCUUGGCAAUGGCAAUAGCUCCAGUGUUGUCAUAGAAGAGAGUCAUCGGUCCUGACGCAUUAGGAAUCACUCGUAGGUCAGUGAUAAACUCCUUCAUCCAGACUCCUUCCUGCGCUGCUUCCGAAGAAGCUAUACCCCGCUUCACAUGUAGAUCCCGCCAUGACGCUUUGCUUGCAAUUGCACUAGCUGACUACCCCACCAUUCAAAAUAUACAUGUAUCCGGUUUGUGACUUGGAGUCAUCCAGAUCUGUGUCAAAGCUAGCAUCGACGUAACCCUUUAUGACGAGCUCUUUGGCACCUCCAUAAACGAGAAACACAUCCGUAGUCCUUUUCAGGUACUUUAGGAUAUUCUUGACUGCUGUCCAGUGUUGCAUACUGGGAUCACUUUGGUACCUCCCUACCAAACUUAUGGCAAGGUUCACAUCAGGUCUGGUACACAGCAUGUCAUACAUAAUAGAGCCUAUGGCUGAGGCAUAGGGGAUGACACUCAUCUUUUCUCUUUCUUCUGCCGAGGUCGGGCGUUGAGCUAUGCUCAAUCUCACACCUUGCAAUACAGGCAAGAACCCCUUCUUGGAAUGAUCCGUAUUGAACUUCUUCAAUAUCUUGUCAAGGUAUGUGCUUUGUGAAAGACCAAUGAGGCGUCUCGAUCUAUCUCUAUAGAUCUUGAUGCCUAAUAUGUAAGCAGCUUCUCCAAGGUCCUUCAUAGAAAAACACUUAUUCAAGUAUGCCUUUAUGCUUUCCAAAAGUUCUAUAUCAUUUCCCAUCAAUAGUAUGUCAUCCACAUAUAAUAUGAGAAAUGCUACAUAGUUCCCACUCACUUUCUUGUAAAUACAGGCUUCUCCAUAAGUCUGUAUAAACCCAAACGCCUUGAUCAUUUCAUCAAAGCGAAUGUUCCAACUCCGAGAUGCUUACAUCAGCCCAUAGAUGGAGCGCUGGAGCUUGCAUACAUUGUCAGCAUUCUUAGGAUCGACAAAACCUUCCAGCUGCAUCAUAUACAAUUCUUCCUUAAGGAAAUCGUUAAGGAAUGCCGUUUGCCAGAUCUCAUAAUCAUAGAGUGCGGCAAUUGCUAACAUGAUUCGGACGGACUUCAGCUUCGCUACGGGUGAGAAGGUCUCAUCGUAGUCAACCCCUUGAACUUGUCGAUAACCCUUAGCAACAAGUCGAGCCUUAUAGACGGUCACAUUACCAUCCGCGUCAGUCUUCUUCUUAAAGAUCCACUUAUUUUCUAUGCCUUGCCGAUCAUCGGGCAAGUCCACCAAAGUCCAUACUUUGUUCUCAUACAUGGAUCCUAUCUCGGAUUUCAUGGCUUCAAGCCAUUUGUUGGAAUCCGGGCCCGCCAUCGCUUCUUCAUAGUUCGAAGGUUCCCCAUUGUCUAACAACAUGAUUUCCAGGACAGGGUUGCCGUACCACUCUGGUGCGGAACGUGUCCUCGUGGACCUACGAAGUUCAGUAGCAACUUAAUCCGAAAUUUCAUGAUCAUCAUCAUUAACUUCCUCUCUAGUCGGUGCGGGCACCACAUAAACAUUUUCCUGAGCUGUGCUACUUUCCGGUUCAAGAGGGGGUACCUCAUCAAGUUCUACUUUCCUCCCACUUACUUCUUUCGAGAGAAACUCUUUCUCCAGAAAGGAUCCAUUCUUGGCAACAAAGAUCUUGCCUUCGGAUCUGAGGUAGAAGGUAUACCCAAUAGUUUCCUUAGGGUAUCCUAUGAAGACGCAUUUUUCCGAUUUGGGUUCGAGCUUUUCAGGUUGAAGUUUCUUGACAUACGCAUUGCAUCCCCAAACUUUCAGAAAUGACAGCUUAGGUUUCUUCCCAAACCAUAAUUCAUACGGUGUCGUCUCAACGGAUUUAGGCGGUGCCCUAUUUAAAGUGAAUGCGGCAGUCUCUAAAGCAUAACCCCAAAAUGAUAGCGGUAGAUCGGUAAGAGACAUCAUAGAUCGCACCAUAUCCAAUAGAGUGCGAUUACGAUGUUCGGAUACACCAUUACGCUGAGGUGUUCCAGGCGCCGUGAGUUGUGAAACAAUUCCACAUUUCCUUAAGUGCAUGCCAAACCCGUGACUUAAAUAUUCUCCUCCACGAUCUGAUCAUAAGAAUUUUAUUUUCAUGUCAUGUUGAUUCUCUACCUCGCUCUGAAAUUACUUGAACUUUUCAAAGGUCUCAGACUUGUGUUUCAUUAAGUAGACAUACCCAUAUCUACUUAAGUCAUCAGUGAGGGUGAGAACAUAACGAUAGCCACCGCGAGCCUCAACGCUCAUUGGACCGCACACAUCAGUAUGUAUUAUUUCCAACAAGUUGGUAGCUCACUCCAUUGUUCCGGAGAACGGAGUCUUGGUCAUUUUUCCCAUGAGGCAUGGUUCGCACGUGUCAAAUGAUUCAUAAUCAAGAGACUCCAAAAGUCCAUCUGCAUGGAGUUUCUUCAUGCGUUUGACACCAAUAUGACCAAGGCGGCAGUGCCACAAGUAUGUGGGACUAUCAUUAUCAACCUUACAUCUUCUGGCAUUCCAACUAUGAAUAUGUGUAACAUCACGUUCGAGAUUCAGUAAAAAUAAACCAUUGACCAGCGGGGCAUGACCAUAAAACACAUCUCUCAUAUAAAUAGAACAACCAUUAUUCUCGGAUUUAAAUGAGUAGCCAUCUCGCACCAAACGAGAUCCAGAUACAAUGUUCAUGCUCAAAGCUGGUACUAAAUAACAAUUAUUGAGGUUUAAAACUAAUCCCGAAGGUAGAUGUAGAGGUAGCGUGCCGACGGUGAUCACAUCGACCUUGGAACCAUUCUCGACGCGCAUCGUUACCUCGUCCUUCGCUAGUCUCCGCUUAUUCCGCAGCUCCUAUUUUGAGUUACAAAUUUGAGCAACUGCACCGGUAUCAAAUACCCAGGAGCUACUACGAGCGCUGGUAAGGUACACAUCAAUAACAUGUAUAUCAUAUAUACCUUUGGCGUUGCCGGCCUUCUUAUCCGCUAAGUACUUGGGGCAGUUUCGCUUCCAGUGACCAUUUCCCUUGCAAUAAAAGCACGCAGUCUCAGGCUUGGGUCCAUUCUUUGGCUUCUUCCCGGCAACUGAUUUACCGGGCGCGGGAACUCCCUUGCCGUCCUUCUUGAAGUUCUUCUUACCCUUGCCUUUCUUGAAACUAGUGGUCUUAUUCACCAUCAACACUUGAUGUUCCUUUUUGAUCUCCACCUCCGCUGAUUUCAGCAUCGAAUAUAACUCAGGAAUGGACUUCUCUAUCCCUUGCAUAUUGUAGUUCAUCACAAAGCCCUUGUAGCUAGGUGGAAGCGACUGGAGGAUUCUGUCAAUGACCGAGUCAUCUGGAAGAUUAACUCCCAGCUGAGACAAGCGGUUGUGCAACCCAGACAUUUUGAGUAUAUGCUCGCUGACAGAACUGUUUACCUCCAUCUUACAACUGUAGAACUUAUCGGAGACUUCAUAUCUCUCGACCCAGGCAUGAGCUUGGUAAACUAUUUUCAGCUCUUGGAACAUCUCAUAUGCUCCGUGCUGCUCAAAACGCUUUUGGAGCCCUGAUUCUAAGCUGUAAAGCAUGCUGCACUAAACCAGGGAUUAAUCAUCACUACGCGACUGCCAGGCGUUCAUAAUGUCUUGAGUUGCUGGGAAAAUGGGUGCAUCACCUAGCGGUGCUUCAAGGACAUAUGCUUUCUUGGCAGCUAUGAGGAUGAUCCUCAAGUUACGGACCCAGUCCGUAUAGUUGCUUCCAUCGUCUUUCAGCUUGGUUUUCUCUAGGAACGCGUUGAAGUUGAGGGCAACAUUAGCAUGGGCCAUUGGAUCUACAAGAUAGAUUGUAAAGACAAUUUUAGACUAAGUUCAUGAUAAUUAAGUCAUCUAAUCAAAUUAUUUAAUGAACUCCCACUCAGAUAGACAUCCCUCUAGUCAUCUAAGUGAUACAUGAUCCGAAUCGGCUAGGCCGUGUCCGGUCAUCACGUGAGACAAACUAGUCAUCAACGAUGAACAUCUCCAUGUUGAUCGCAUCUUCCAUACGACUCAUGUUCGACCUUUCGGUCUCUCGUGUUCCGAGGCCAUGUCUGUACAUGCCAGGCUCGUCAAGUCAACCUAAGUGUUUCGCAUGUGUAAAUCUGGCUUACACCCGUUGUAUGCGAACGUUAGAAUCUAUCACACCCGAUCAUCACGCGGUGCUUCAAAACAACGAACCUUCGCAACAGUGCAUAGUUAGGGGGAACACAUUUCUUGAAAUUUUAGUGAGGGAUCAUCUUAUUUAUGCUACCGUCUGUUAAGGCAUAUCUCUCUAGAUGUAGUUUUGGUGAUUGAUGACAACAUGUUUGCGGACUAAUCGUGUGCUUUGAGCAUUUUAGAGAUUCAUCAUUUGGCACGAGACGAUUUCUUUCCCCUCGGAGCGUCAUUCAAGACGGUGUAGCUCUUUCGCUUCUUUUCUGGUGAACUAGUUUCGUAGGAGUCAUCGUACUAUCAAGAGGGGGUCCGUUUUGGUAAGGCUAGGGUGGAAUCAACACGUACACAUCCUCUUUGCACCCUCUGAGCCUUUCCGCUUCAUUGGAGGUCUCUUUCCCCCUUCUUUGGGCCGAGUCUGGUCACAGCGGUAGUACUGCGGUACCCAGCGGUAGUACCGUUUAGGGGUCACAGGCGGCAGUACCGCUCCACAGCGGUAGUACCGCCGGUGGGUCCUCAGCAGUAGUACCGCUGCGGUACCACGUCCCUACCGCGUCGACUCGAGGGGUCAUUUUUCGUGUCGGAUUGUGCGGUACUUUGCAGCGGCAGUAGAGCGGCAGUGCCGCUCAUGAGCGGUAGUACCGCCCUACCACCGCGGCAGUACCGCUCGGGUCCGUAUCUCUCCUGCCCUCCUAACUCCGCGGUAGUACCGCCCAGGGGAGCGGCAGUACCGCUGUGCCCAGCGGUAGUACCGCUGUGCCCAGCGGUAGUACCGCUGCCUCCUGCGGUAGUGCCGCUCCUGCGGGGCUGUUUUGGGGGGUAACGCUUGGAUUGUUCCCCCCACUAUAUAAGGGGGUCUUCUUCCCCAAAGUUGACUUACCUCUUCCCCCAAAAAGCUCCAUUGUUCCUCCAAGCUCCAUUUUCGCCCGAUCUCUCUCCCUAGCCAAUCAAACUUGUUGAUUUGCUCGGGAUUGGUUGAGAAGGCCCCGAUCUACACUUCCACCAAGAGAAAUUUGAUUCCCCCACUUAUCCCUAGCGGAUCUUGUUACUCUUGGGUGUUUGAGCACCCUAGACGGUUGAGGUCACCGCGGAGCCAUAGUCCAUUGUGGUGAAGCUUUGUGGUGUCGUUGGGAGCCUCCAAUUAAGUUGUGGACAUUGCCCCAACCUUGUUUGUAAAGGUCCGGUCGCCGCCUUCAAGGGCACCAAUAGUGGAACCACGGCAUCUCGCAUUGUGUGAGGGCGUGAGUAGAAUACGGUGGCCCUAGUGGCUUCUUGGGGAGCAUUGUGCCUCCACACCGCUCCAACGACGUACUUCCCCUCAAAAGGAAGGAACUUCGGUAACACAUCCUCGUCUUCACCGGCUCCACUCUUGGUUAUCUCGUCCCUUUACUUUCGCAAGCUUACUUGUGUUAAAUCCCUUGCUUGCUUGUGUGCUAGUUGUCAUUGCAUCAUAUAGGUUGCUCACUUAGUUGCAUAUCUAGACAACCUACUUUGAUGCAAAGUUUAAAUUGGUAAAGAAAGCUAAAAAUUGUUGUUGCCUAUUCACCCCCCCUCUAGUCAACUAUAUCGAUCCUUUCAAUUGGUAUCAGAGCCUCGUCUCUUUAUUAAGGACUUUACUGUCCGAAGAUUAUGGUUGACGUCGUAGACGGUGUGGAGGAGCAAUCCGGUGUGAAUCCGGUCUCGUCUACGGGAGAUGGGGGAACCGCGGUCUCUCGUGAGGAAUUUAAUGUGGCGUUGGACACAUUAUAAACCUCCAUGACUACCGAGGUCGAAAGCAUGUUUAAUAAAUUCUUAGAAGGGCUUAAACUUUCCACCGCACCGUUGAAUGUGGGUGAUCCCGCCAACAAGGUGACGGAUGCUACCCGCGACAAAGGGGAAGCUACUAGCGAGAAAGCUCCUUCUUCUAGUGGUAAAAAUUGCACUGGCAUCUUUGCCCAUGUGGAACCUCCACUUGUCUAUGGUGGACCGCUCCCUUCCACUCAUUUGAAUCAUGCCGACCCGGCCCCUAAGAUUGAGAAGAAUGUAGAUUUUGAUUCUUGGGUCUAUCAUUUUAAGCGUCAUUUAAAUCAUGUGAACACUAACCUUUGGAGAAUCAUUGAAGAAGGUUUCUAUCCGCAUGACCGAAGUAACUUCACUCCUAGAGAAGUUGUGGAUCAUCAAUUCAAAGAGAAUGCUCUCUUCAUCAUCCAAGAAGCAAUCCCACCCGAAGAUCUUCCUCAUCUCCGGCCCUACACCGUGGCCAAAGAUGCUUGGCUCCAAGUUGUUUCCCUCUAUCGGGGAAGCGCAAGCAUUCAACGCUCCAACUCUGAAGUGGUGCAAGAUGAAGCCGACGAGUUUCCAAUGAAAGAAGAUGAAGAACCUUGUGAGCUUUUUCGGAGAGUAACCAAACUCGCGAUCUCUCUCUGAGAUCAUGGAAGUAAGGACAAGGAUGACAAUUGUAUCAAGCGCAAAUUCCUCAAGGCAAUGAUGCCCUACCACAAAGCCAUGUCCUCCGUCAUUCGUCAAAGGCCAGACUUCCACACCUUGUCCUCAAGUGAAGUGCUGGAUGAGUUUGUUGCCAUGAGCAUCUUGGACAAGACCGCCGACAAUGCGGUUCUUCACUCUCAAAGAUUAAAGAAGCCCAACCUUGCUCUAAAGGCCAAGGUUAGUAUCGAGGAAGAGGAUGAAGAGGAGGAAGAAGAAAGCAACCUCGAAGAUACGAAGUAUGCCUAUCAUGAACACAUGGCUCUUGCUUCAAGGCAAUUUUGGAGCAAGAAGAACACAAGGCCAAACUUCAACAAGAACAAUUCAAGUGGCGCAAAGGGCAAGCAACGAGUGAGGACUUGCUUCAAUUGUGGCAAUGUGAGCCACUUUGUUGCGGAGUGCCCUUACGAGAAGAGGGAAGACAAUGGUGGCAAGAUCAUUCGAAAGGACAAGGCCAAGUCGUUUCCCAACAAGAGCAACUUCACCAAGAAGACUCCUCCCAAGGCAUUGGUGGUACAAGAAGAGUACAAUGAGGAUGAUGACGAUGAUGAAGAUGGUGAGUCGGGUGCCAUGGCCUCCGUUGCCAUUGCGAUGACUCCACGGAUGUCUCUCUUUGACUCACCCAAUGAGAACAUCACCGCCAAAUGCCUCAUGGCUAAAGCCACCAACAAGGUAACCCCCAACAUCAAAACUACAUCCUUCUUUGACGGAUAGCAUUGAUGAACAUGAGGGGACAAAUGUGGAGGAAAAUGAGUUUGAGACCUUUAUGGGUAAACUCAAGGGUAAAUCCAAGAAGCACUUUGUUGCUCUCUUGGAACAACUUGGUGAAGCCAAUGACAUGAUCGAGGCUCACGAAGAUACCAUCUCUAAGAUGGAGGGGCAUAGUCAUGACUAUGCCGAUGAGAUUUCGGAUCUUUCCAAUGCUCUUGACGAAGAGCGUGGUCUUCGUUUGGCUCUUGAGGAGUCAUACAACGAUGAUCAUGCUAAGUUAAAGAAAGAUCUUGAUCAUGCUCUUGUUGUGUCUCGUGUGCUAAACUCCGAGAAGGCAAAGCUUGGGGUUGAUCUUGCUAGACUCAAAGAGGAGUUUGACAUUCUCGACAAGGCUCACAAAGUCUUGAAGGGUGUUCAUGCUAGCCUCAAGGAGUCUCAUGAUCAACUCCAAGUGAAGCUAACUAAGGAGAAAGCCACCUUUCCUCAUAUGGUGUUAAUUUAUAAUGCAAAUGCUACUAACCCUUGUUGUGAGCAUGUGCAUCUUGUUGAGGAGAAUGCUAAGUUGAAGGAGCAUCUUGAGAAAGGCCUUGUGUCAUGCAUACAAGGUGAGAAGAACCUCAACGACCUUUUGAGCAAUCAAAAGGAAGUUGUGGCCAAGGAGGGGAUUGGGUUCGCACCCAAGAACAAGAAGAAGAAUGACAAGACCAAACGACCUCCUCCUCUCAAGCGAACUUUUGUGAAGGAGGGAGAGGGUGCUUCCAAGGAGAAGAAGAACAAUGCGAAGGGUGGCGGUGUCAAGAAGGGCAAUGCCACCCCUUCCAACAAAGCCGGCGACUUUAAUCCUUCUUAUGUGCUAUGCCAUGCUAGUGAUGGGCAUGUUUAUGCCAAAUUUGUUGGUUCUCCUCAUAAGUAUAUUGAAUGGUCUAUUUGGGUUCCUAAGACCCUUGUUACUAACAUCAAAGGACCCAUUACAAAAUGGGUACCUAAAACCAAGCAUUGAUCUCUUGUAGGUGUUUGCUUCCGGUGGGGGAUCAUGGUUGCUCGAUAGUGGAGCUACAAAUCAUAUGACCGGAAGCAAGGACUUGGUGGUGGACGUGCACAAGAUUCCAUCUAUGCCCACCAAUGUCGAGUGGGGUGAUGCCUCGUCAUCUAAGGUAUUGGGAAUCGGCAAAGUAGUCAUUUCUCAUGAUCUCACGAUCGAGAAAGUCAUGCUUGUUGAGUCCCUUGCAUACAAUUUACUUUCCGUUCGUCAACUUGCAAUCAUGGGUUUUGCCACCUUCUUUGAUAUUGAUACCGGGGCCCUCUUGUGGAGCAAGACUCUUAAAGUAGCCUUUGUUGGGCAUGUCGAGAACGGUCUCUAUGUGAUUAAAUUUUCGGAGCGACCCACUAAGACCGCGACAUGCCUAAUGGCUAAAGUUGACGUGGGAUGGCUUUGGCAUCGCCGUUUAGCCCAUGUCAAUAUGAGAUAUUUGCAAAGUCUUAUCAAGGGGGACCAUUUCCGUGGACUAACAAACGUUAGUUUUGCUAAAGAUCGUGCUUGCAGUGCUUGUAUUGAAGGAAAGCUUCAUGAGAAGGCUCACCCUCCCACGACUCUCAUUUACUCGAAGAGGCCGUUGGAGCUCCUUCAUUUGGAUCUCUUUGGGCCUCCAUCCUUUGAUAGUCUUGGGGGUAGAAAAUAUUGCUUGGUGACUGUGGAUGACUAUUCAAGAUACACUUGGGUGUAUUUCUUCAAGAGGAAGAGUGAGACCCAACAAACUGUCAUUGACUUUGCAAAUGAAGCCCAACGUCAACACAAUGCAAAGAUCUUGACAAUAAGAAGUGACAACGGCACUGAGUUCAAGAACUACACCUUGGAUGAGUUUCUUAGUGAUGAGGGGAUCAAGCAUCAAUAUUCCGCACCUUACACCCCUUAACAAAACGGUGUUGCGGAGAGGAAGAACCGAACGUUGAUGGAUGCCGCAAGGACCAUGAUGGCGGAGUUCAAGUCUCCAUACAACUUUUGGGCCUAAGCCAUCAACACCGCGUGUCAUGCAUCCAAUCGGCUCUAUCUCUGCAAGGGCUUGAACAAGACUCCAUAUGAGAUACUCACCGGUAACAAGCCCAACCUCAAGUACUUUCGGGUGUUCGGGUGUAAGUGUUUCAUUCUCAAGAAAGGUGUUCGGUUGUCUAAAUUUGAGGCUAGAGCUUAUGAGGGCAUAUUUGUUGGUUAUGCUACAAACUCUCAUGCUUACCGUGUCCUCAAUAAAUCCACGGGACUUAUUGAGGAGACGUGUAACGUGGAGUUUGAUGAGAAUAACGGCUCCCAAGUGGAGCAAAGUGGCACUUGUGAUGUAGGUGAUGAAAUUCCUCCUCAAGCCAUAAGAAGAAUGGGUGUUGGUUUUAUCCUACCCAUUGAGGAAGCCCUUGUGGCCGAAGGAGAAGGACAAUGCUCCACUCAAGUGGAGCCAUCACCAACCCAAGGCCCACACGCUUCCGAAGAACAAAGUGAAGGCCCUCAACCUCAUGAACAAGACCAAGGGCAAGAUCAUCCUCAAGACGGUGGUGACACACCAAGUGAUUCCCAAGGUCAAGUUCUCUCCUCCGAGCAAGUUCAAGAUCAAGAACAAGCUCAAGACGACGCUCAAGAUGAUCAAGUGACCGCUCCUCAACUCACCACCAAGGAGGAAUUGGAGUGUCGUGCCGCCAAGAUUGCUUCCAAGCUCUCCACCAAGGGUCAUCUCAUGAAGAAUGUGCUUGGAAGCAUUCAAAAGGGGGUAAGCACUCGUAGACAAUUGGCAAACUAUUGUGAACAUCACACGCUUGCCUCUUGUGUAGAACCCCAAAAGGUAUAUGAAGCACUCGAAGAUCCGGAUUGGCUCAAUGCCAUGCAUGAAGAACUCAACAACUUCGAGUACAACAAGGUGUGGAGAUUAGUGCCAAGGCCAACGGGGAACCACAAUGUCAUUGGAACCAAGUGGAUAUUCAAGAACAAGCAAGAUGCUCAUGGGACCAUCAUCCGCAACAAGGCACAAUUGGUGGCACAAGGCUACUCCCAAGUCGAGGGUAUCGACUACGGUGAAACCUUUGCUCCCGUUGCUCGCCUUGAAUCUAUUCGUUUGUUGAUUGCUUAUGCUUCUCAUCACAACUUUAAGUUGCAACAAAUGGAUGUGAAGAGUGCUUUUCUUAAUGGUCCUAUUAAUGAGUUGGUUUAUGUCAAGCAACCCCCCGGGUUCGAGGAUCCCUACUUUCCCGAUCAUGUGUAUCAACUCGAUAAAGCACUCUAUGGCCUUAAGCAAGCCCCACGUGCGUGGUAUGGCCAUCUUACCGAGUUGUUACAAGAUCGUGGGUUUGAAGUUGGGCUAAUCGACCCCACUCUUUUUACUAAGAAGGUCAAAGGGGAGUUGGUUGCGUGCCAAGUUUAUGUUGAUGACAUUAUCUUUGGUUCCCCUAACAAAGCUUUCAAUGAGGAAUUUUCAGCACUCAUGACCUCAAAGUUCAAGAUGUCUUCCAUGGGAGAGUUGAAGUUCUUUCUUGGUUUUGAAGUAAAGCAAAGAAGAGAAGGAACCUUCAUCAACCAAGCCAAAUACACUGAAGACAUGCUCAAGAGAUUCAAGCUAAGUGAUGUCAAGCCGACGUCCACUCCAAUGCCCACCAAGUGCCAACUUGACAUCGAUCCCAAUGGUAAAGCGGUGGAUCAAAAGGUAUAUUGCUCCAUGAUUGGUUCCUUACUUUACCUUUGUGCAUCUAGACCGGAUAUCAUGUUGAGUGUGGGAAUUUGGGCAUGUUUUCAAGCCGCACCUAAGGAAAGCCACUUUGUGGCGGUCAAGCGAAUCUUUUGAUAUUUGGCUCAUACCCCAAACUUUGGCUUAUGGUACCCAAGAGGAUGAAACUUCAAGCUUGUAGGGUAUUCGGACUCCGAUUGGGCGGGAGACAAAGUGGACAGGAAGUCCACUUCCGGAGGGUGCCAAUUCCUUGGUUGCUCUUUGGUAAGUUGGUCUUCUAAAAAGCAAAGUUGUGUGUCUCUCUCGUCCACCGAAGCGGAGUAUGUGGCGGCCGGCAGUUGUUGUGCACAACUCUUAUGGAUGAGGCAAACUUUAAAGGAUUACGGUUUCAUUUGUGACAAAGUGCCUCUUUGGUGUGACAAUGAAAGUGCCAUCAAGAUUUCUCUCAACCCGGUGCAACACUUCAAGAUGAAGCAUAUUGAGAUUCGGUAUCACUUCAUCCGGGAUCAUAUUAGGCGAGGGGAGAUCGAGCUCAACUAUGUCAACACUCAUGAUAACCUUGCAGAUAUUUUCAUGAAGCCGUUGGAUGAAGCAAGAUUUCGCGAGUUAAGGCAUGAGCUAAAUAUCAUUGAUUCGAGCAAUGUUGCUUGAACACUUGCACUCCCCACCAUACUCAACUUGUUAUCUUGUUUGGGUGUAGGCAUGGACAUAGGGGGAGUGUUGUUCUCUUAAUGAACUCUCCCUCCCCUUAUUAUGCAUAAAUUGAUCAACUCUUUCACAUUAGCCAUUUUUUAUGGUACUUGUGCUUCAAAGACGAGUUUUGGUCAUGGGCCCAAGGAUAAUUCUUCACGGUGCCAUACCAAUUGACUCAAACAUAGGUGGCCUCGGCCACCGCCCUCUCUUGAAGAGGUGUGUGUUUCUUGUCCUCUCGCUGGUGUUUUUGUUGCUUUGUGUUUGCUCUCUCUUCUUGCCGCUUGUUUUUCCUUUCUUUUUGAGCUAAGCCUUUUGUGUCUAGUCUUUGGGGUCUUGGCUGGGCGGUACUACCGCUGGUGGUGCGCGUUACUACCGCUUAUGUUGACAAGCGGUACUACCGCCCACCCGAGCGGUACUACCGCUGGGGGGCGGGACCAGGGGGUUAUGUCGGGGCAGGGGGAGGUUUCUCCUCCCCCAUACCCAUUCGCACUGCCCCCUUGUCCCUCUUCCUCUCUCCAGCAUCGCCUCGCCGCGGGAGGGCUCCGGCGGGCCGCCGUCUCCGGGCCAUCCCUCUCCAUUCCCUUUGUUGGAGUCGAUCCCCACCUCGUCCUCUUGCCAUGGAUGCCGGUGAUGAACAUCCUGAGUAGCAAGUCCGCCGUGUCAACCCCGGACGUGCAACUUCAAAGCGCUACCGCACCUCAGAGUCAGUAGGUGCCUCCUCAAGUGCGGCACCUCCGCCUCAGCUCCAGAAGAAACCUGCCAACAGGCCGAAGCCAAGGGGCAAGACUGUGACUGAGUUGUCUGCCAAGGAGUUCUGGGAAAGGCGUCGCCGCAACCCCUAUGCGGAAGACCAAGAACCCAAUUUGGUCAACCGCUCGUUCUGGAACCGCUUUCAGUUUGCCAUCUACUUUGAUGUGAUCAAGGCCAAGAAGAAUCUCUAUGUUGAUGUUCGCUCCAUCGACACGGAUGCCAUGGAAAAGGAUCCUGAAUACUUUGGUGAAGCUCUUCAGAUGUGUGCUCAGCUAAACAUUCUCAGAAUCAUGCAGUUCAACAAGGACUGAUGCAAAUUUGGUGGCUCAAUUCUAUGCCACUGUCCAUCUUGGCACUGAUGAAGAAAGGACUCUGACCUGGAUGACAAAUGGGAAGUUACUGUCUGUCAAGUGGAAGGCCUUCAUGGAGUUACUUGAGGUGGAAGAUCGCGGGCUUGAGACUCCUGUCGGCUUUUGCCCUCACCGCAACGUCAACUCCACUCACAAGCAAGCCCUCUGGCCCUACUGCACUGUGAAGGUUCACCCGGUGACUAAGAAGGAAACCUAUGAGUUGUCUACCUACCUGGACAUCCUUCAUCGUGUCUUUCGAGAGACCCUCUUUCCUCGCAUCGCGAAUCUGGAUAUGGUCCACUCCUAUCUCGUGGAUAUGCUUCUCUUCUGCCAGCAUGAGAAGGAAGCAAACACUGGCGAGUCCCUGGACAUUUCUCAUGUUAUGUGGUCUGAACUUCUCACUGCCGUUUCUGAGCGCAAGUGCCCGAUCUAUGGUCCGUUCAUCAUGCUGCUCAUUGAGAAGGCCUGGGCACGUGUCUAUCCCCAGGUGAUGCUGGAAACUAGAGAUUUGGUCUCUCAUAAGAUCAAGUGUCUCAGGAAGAAGGACAGUUGGGGCACCCCAGCCCCUAAAUCUGGGGGUCCAUCUACUGCUGCUGACAUGGAGACCGAGGACGGGGCUGAGGCCGAUGAUGACGAUGAGGAUUAUGAGCCUUCUGGGACAGAGCCCUCUUGGGCAAAGAAGAUCAAGCGCAAGAUGAAGAAGCUCUUCUGCAUGGAGUCUCGUGGUCAGUACAUGUCUCAUGUGGCCGAGAAGAAGGCCAGGGGCGUCACAAGGAGCUCAUGCGUCAGCUGGGUGCGACCGUUGUCAGUUGGUAUGAGGGCCAGAUCACUGAGGAAGAGGAGUGGAUUCAGCAGCACUGUCCGUGGACCGAUUCCGACACCGAGCAGUUUCCGACUGAGGAUGGCAGUGCAGAUGACCCUGCCAGGAUGUGAUGAGAGAGCUCCUCAGUUUGCUUUCACCUGGAGCCGUAGUGUCGCUCUUUGCCCUUUUGGUGUCUCGAUGCCAAAGGGGGAGAGAGCUUAGGGAUUUGUUGGGACUUGUGCUUUAUGGUGUGCUUUAUGGUGUCGUCGUUUUCUUUGUUGUGUCGUUGUGUUUUCUCGCCAUUUGCCUUGUUUGGUUGUGUGCCAGUGAGACCUAAGUUCCAGAUAUAUGGUGUAAGACAUAUGCUACCUUAUCUUUAUCUAUGUCUUUCUAGUACUUUGGUAUCUCUUAAGUUGCUUGUCUAUCCUGUUAUAUUACCUGCUCUCAUGUAUCCUAUGCUUAGGUUGUUGGACUAUAAAAUAUAGGGGGAGUGUUGAUCCUAAUGUGUGUGUCCUACAUUCCAAAGGCUCUACUAACUAGGUGCACACACUCAGGGGGAGCCCGUCUAUAAUUUGUAGUUCUAAGUAUCUUUACUUUCAUGAUAUAUCCUUGUGCAAAUCCCUGGUUGUCAUCAAUCCACCAAAAAGGGGGAGAUUGUUAAGACAUAUCUCUCUAGAUGUAGUUUUGGUGAUUGAUGACAACAAUGUUUGCGGACUAAUCGUGUGCUUUGAGCAUUUCAGAGAUUCAUCAUUUGGCACGAGACGAUUUCUUUCCCCUCAGAGUGUCAUUCAAGACGGUGUAGCUCUUCCGCUUCUUUUCUGGUGAACUAGUUUCGUAGGAGUCACCGUACUAUCAAGAGGGGGUCCGUUUUGGUAAGGCUAGGGUGGAAUCAACACGUACACAUCCUCUUUGCACCCUCUGAGCCUUUCCUCUUCAUUGGAGGUCUCUUUCCCCCUUCUUUGGGCCGAGUCUGGUAACAGCGGUAGUACCGCGGUACCCAGCGGUAGUACCGCUUAGGGGUCAUAGGCGGCAGUACCGCUCCACAGCGGUAGUACCGCCGGUGGGUCCUCAGCAGUAGUACCGCUGCGGUACCAGGUCCCUACCACGUCGACUCGAGGGGUCAUUUUUCGUGUCGGAUUAUGCGGUACUUUGCAGCGGCAGUAGAGCGGCAGUGCCGCUCAUGAGCGGUAGUACCACCCUACCACCGCGGCAGUACCGCUCGGGUCCGUAUCUCUCCUGCCCUCCUAACUCCGCGGUAGUACCGCCCAGGGGAGUGGCAGUACCGCUGUGCCCAGCGGUAGUACCGCUGCCUCCUGCGGUAGUACCGCUCCUGCGGGGCUGUUUUGGGGGGUAACGGUUGGAUUGUUCCCCCCACUAUAUAAGGAGGUCUUCUUCCCCAAAGUUUACUUACCUCUUCCCCCCAAAAGCUCCAUUGUUGCUCCAAGCUCCAUUUUCGCCCGAUCUCUCUCCCUAUCCAAUCAAACUUGUUGAUUUGCUCGGGAUUGGUUGAGAAGGCCCCGAUCUACACUUCCACCAAGAGAAAUUUGAUUCCCCCCACUUACCCCUAGCGGAUCUUGUUACUCUUGGGUGUUUGAGCACCCUAGACGGUUGAGGUCACCGCAGAGCCAUAGUCCAUUUUGGUGAAGCUUUGUGGUGUCGUUGGGAGCCUCCAAUUAAGUUGUGGAGAUUGCCCCAACCUUGUUUGUAAAGGUCCGGUCGCCGCCUUCAAGGGCACCAAUAGUGGAAUCACGGCAUCUCGCAUUGUGUGAGGGCGUGAGGAGAAUACGGUGGCCCUAGUGGCUUCUUGGGGAGCAUUGUGCCUCCACACCGCUCCAAUGGAGACGUACUUCCCCUCAAAAGGAAGGAACUUCGGUAACACAUCCUCGUCUUCACCGGCUCCACUCUUGGUUAUCUCGUCCCUUUACUUUCGCAAGCUUACUUGUGUUAAAUCCCUUGCUUGCUUGUGUGCUAGUUGUCAUUGCAUCAUAUAGGUUGCUCACUUAGUUGCAUAUCUAGACAACCUACUUUGAUGCAAAGUUUAAAUUGGUAAAGAAAAGCUAAAAAUUGUUAGUUUCCUAUUCACCCCCCUCUAGUCAACUAUAUCGAUCCUUUCACCGUCGUUCUAAGCAAAUAAGAUGUAAACAUGAUAAACAUCACAUGCAAAUCAUAAAGUGAGAUGAUAUGGCCAAUAUCAUCUUGCGCUUUUGAUCUCCAUCUUCGAGGCGCGACAUGAUCACCAUUGUCACCGGCUUGACACCAUGAUCUCCAUCAUCGUGUCUUCAUGAAGUUGUCUCGCCAACUAUUACUUCUACUACUAUGGCUAACGGUUAGCCAUAAAGUAAAGUAAUUACAUGGCGCUUAUAUUGACUCGCAGGUCAUAUAAUAAAUUAAGACAACUCCUAUGGCUCCUGCCGGUUGUCAUACUCAUCGACAUGCAAGUCAUGAUUCCUAUUACAAGAACAUGAUCAAUCUCACACAUCACAUAUAUAAUUCAUCACAUCCUUUUGGCCAUAUGUAACGCCCACGAUGCGGCUAUAUCUCUCACGUGUCGAGGCACGACAUAGAGGCAUAACCGCAUUGUGAUUUUGUCGCAAGAAGGGUCAUCUUCACACAAUCCCAUGUAAUCAACAAGAAUGGGAUAAAGAGUUGGCUUACAAUUGCCACUUCACACAAUACAUAAAUAAAUCAUACAUCAAUCAGAGUACACACAUAGGUCCGACUACGGAACCAAAAUAAAAGAAGACAACCCCAAAUGCUAGAUCCCCGAUCGUCCCAACUGGGCUCCACUACUGAUCACCAGGAAAUGAAACAUAGUAACGACCAAGUUCUUCAUCGAGCUCUCACUUGAGCUGGGUAGCAUCGUCUGCACUGGUAUCAUCGGCACCUGCAACUGUUUUGGAAGAAUCUGUGAGUCCCGAGGACUCAGCAAUCUCACACCAGCGAGAUCAGGACUAUUUAAGCUUAAGGGUAGGAAAGGGAUAGUGAGGUGGAGCUGCAGCAAUCACUAAGCAUAUAUGGUGGCUAACAUACGCAAAUAAGAGCGAGAAGAGGAGCAACGGAACGGUCGUCAACUAGUAAUGAUCAAGAAGUGAUCCUGAACUCCUACUUACGUCAACCAUAACCCAAAAACCGUGUUCACUUUCCGGACUCCGCCGAAAAGAGACCAUCACGGCUACACACGCGGUUGAUGCAUUUUAAUUAAGUCGAGUGUCAAGUUCUCUACAACCGGAUAUUAACAAAUUCCCAUCUGCCACAUAACCGCGGGCACGGCUCUCAAAAGUUUAUACCCUGCAGGGGUGUCCCAACUUAGCCCAUUAUAAGCUCUCAUGGUCAACGAAGGAUAAACCUUCUCCCGGGAAGACCCGACCAGUCUCGAAAACCCGGUUACAAGACAUUUUGACAAUGGUAAAACAAGACCAGCAAAGCCUCCCGAAUGUGCCGACAAAUCCCAAUAGGAGCUGCACAUAUCUCGUUCUCAGGGCACACCGGAUUGUCCAAGCUUCCGAUAGGCGAGCCCAGAGUUGCCCCUGGUGGCCACCGGCGACUGACAGGUUGGACCAACACUCAGAGGAGCACUGGCCCGGGGGUUUAAAAUAAAGAUGACCCUUGAGUCUGCAGAACCCAAGGGAAAAAGGCUUAGGUAGGCAAAUGGUAAAACCAAGGUUGGGCCUUGCUGGAGGAGUUUUAUUCAAAGCGAACUGUCAAGGGGGUCCCAUAAAUCACCCAACCGCGUAAGGAACGCAAAAUCAAGGAACAUAACACCGGUAUGACGGAAACUAGGGCGACAAGAGUGGAACAAAACACCAGGCAUAAGGCCGAGCCUUCCACCCUUUACCAAGUAUAUAGAUGCAUUAAUAAUAUAAGAGAUAUUGUGAUAUCCCAACAUAAACAUAAUCCAACAUGGAGCAAUCUUCAUCUUCACCUGCAACUAGCAACGCUAUAAGAGGGGCUGAGCAAAAGCGGUAACAUAGCCAAACAAUGGUUUGCUAGGAAGGGUGACAAAGGUUAGAGGUGGUUUCAUGGCAAUUUGGGAGGCAUGAUAUAGCAAGGGGUAGGUAGCGCGGCAUAGUAAUAGAGCGAACAACUAGCAAGCAAAGAUAGAAGUGAUUUCGAGGGUAUGGUCAUCUUGCCUGAGAUCCCGCAAGGAAGAAGAACGAGCCCAUGAAGAAGACAAACGGACGUAGUCGAACGGAUCCUCACAACUCCGGAACGAAACCGAAGCUAACGAGAGGAGCAAACCCGGAAAGAAACAAACAACAUAGUAAACAACCACGACAUACACAUGGCAUGAUGCAUGUCCGGUUUAAUGAGGCAUGGCCUGGCAAAGUGCAACAAACAACACUACAAAUUAAGUGGAGCUCAAUAUGCAACGAGUUGCAUAUUGACGAAACACCACAUCAAUUAUUUAGUUCUCUCUCGGUUAUGUACCCAACAAUAUUAAAUGUUGAUUAACAUGGCAAGAGGUGAAGCAUAAGUAAACUAACUAUUUAGGCAAGUUUAAAUGAGACCGGAACAACAAACAACAAUUCCGGAAAAACCCCAUAUGCAUAUUUCGAAUUUGCUACUGUUCUGCCAUAAACACAAUUUUAAUGUUGUUAAACAUGCAAGAUGAGUGCACCAUGUUAAACUAGGCAUUUUCCUACCCCAUUUACAUAUAAAGUUUAUUUAAAUCCGAGUUACGGUUAAUUAGUUAUGAAAUAAAUCAUUUUAACAUGGCAUUCGAGCAAAUUUAAACACACAGCAUUUUAAACAUGGAUGAGAGUGGCAUAUUAUGAAACUAGAUGAAAUUCUAGACAUUUUUCAUAUAAGAAGUAUUUUAAUCUGAUGCACGGUUUAUGAGAUAUUAUAUGCAUGAACAUGAGGGGUUUUUCUGUAAAACUGCACUCUCUGGAAUAAAUAGGAAAUUCGCUGAUCUAGGAAAAAACGUACGCGGGCCGAAUCUGGCUGGCCCGACAGUGUACGGGAGAGGGACUGGAGGGGGCUGCUCACAUUGGGCCUUGAGGCCGAAUCUGGAGCUGGGCCAGGGGCGCUGGGAUGAGGCAGCCCACGCAGUAGGACGACGCGUCCACGGCACGGUGAGCGGGCGGUCAACGCGGGCUUGACCCGAUGGCUGGCGCUGGUCUCGCUCGAUGCAGAGGAAGCAGACAGGGGAACUUGGCGCUGGCGUCUCCCGACGAUGGCCGGCAGCGAGCGGAGCUUGGCAAGGCGGCGACCGAGGCGGCGAACUGGAGGAGGUGCUCGGGCGGCUCGGCGGCUUGGCGAGGGGAGAGGUCAACGCGGGCGUGCGGGCGCACUCGAUCCCGAAUUGCUGCUCGAAGCAGGGGAAGCAGUGGCCGCGGCAGGCGAACUUGGCGGCAGCAGCAGGUCCAGGAGGGGUCGUCGGGGCUUGGCCGCGAGGCUCCGGUGACGCGGGAGGGACUUGAAGCGCAGGGGCGGCGAGCUCGAGCAGACCCGACAGGUGGUGCUGCUCGGCGGUCAUCGGACAGAGCAGGACAACGGCAGUGGCGACAUGGGCACGGGGCGGCGGACUUGGACGGCAGGAGGAAGAUCCGGGCGCGCGGAGCAUGGAUCCAUCCAUCCCCGGCACGAAACGACGACGGAGCUUGAAGCAGCGGCCAUGGUGGUCUCCUGUGAGCGAAAACAGAGAGAGGGAGGGGGAGAUCGUGAGAAAGAGAGGUGGAGAAGCAGAAGGGGAAAAAGAGCGGGGCUGUCGGGGCACUCAUCUCCGGCGAUGUUCCGGUCGCCGGUGUCGACCGGCCGACGAGGCGGGGUCGAGGGUGAUGGGGAGCUGCGGGAGGAGCUCGGGCAGAGGCAGGUGCUCGAGGAGGGAUCGAGCGGGAGGAGCUCGGGGCCUCGGUUGCGGGAUUGGGUGAAACGAGGGAAGGAGGUGGUUGGCCCGAUCGGGAAAUCAAGGGAGAGAGGGUGGAUCUGGAGGGAUCCCGAGGUGGGAGAUGCUGGCGGUGGCGGGAUGGGACUGAUGGGACAAGCCUCCUAAAGAUUAGGGUUGGUCUAGUUAUAUAGGUAGGGGAUUAGGGUAGGGGUUAAUCCGGUCCGUCCAAUUAGAAUCGGGCGUUCGUAAAUAAAUAGGUUAGGUAGCCCGAAUAAUAAAACGGAGAUGUUUUAUAGAUGUUAGGAGAUGAUCUAAAUGCAACGGUGAUGACUGAGCGGGUCGGGUUCGGGACAGGUUUCGGACGCACGCGAGAAGGGGUUUUGACGAAAGGCCAAUGAAGACAAAGCGGUCAGUGAGAGGGUGACGAAGGCAAAGGAAGAAACGACAACGACGAACGAAUGCAAGUUUUAAAACAUGACGGCAACGGAGUGCCGAUGCAAUGCAAAUGAUGACAUGAUGAAAUGCAACAAACAAAUAAAUACACACAAUGAUAAUGAAAAAUAUGGAAGCCGUCUCGAGCGUCGGUCUCGGGGCGUUACACCAUAUCACAUCACAUAGUAUACCCUGCAAAAACAAGUUAGACAUCCUCUAAUUGUUGUUGCAUGUUUUACGUGGCUGCUAUGGGUUUCUAGCAAGAACAUUUCUUACCUAUGCAAAAGCCACAACGGUGAUAUGCCAAUUGCUAUUUACCCUUCAUAAGGACCCUCUUCAUCGAAUCCGAUCCGACUAAAGUGGGAGAGACAGACACCCGCUAGCCACCUUAUGCAACAAGUGCAUGUCAGUCGAUGGAACCUGUCUCACAUAAGUGUACGUGUAAGGUCGGUCCGGGUCACUUCAUCCCACAAUGCCGCCGAAUCAAGAUAAGACUAGUAACAGUAAGCAAAUUGACCAAAUCAUCGCCCACAACUACUUGCGUUCUACUCGUGCAUAGAAUCUACACAUAGACCUAGCUCAUGAUGCCACUUUUGGGGAACGUAGUAAUAAUUCAAAAUUUUCCUACGUGUCACCAAGAUCAAUCUAGAAGAUGCUAGCAACGAGAGAGAGAGUGAGUGCAUCUUCAUACCCUUGAAGAUCGCUAAGCGGAAGCAUUACAAGAACGCGGUUGAUGGAGUCGUACUCGCGGCGAUUCAAAUCGCGGAAGAUCCGAUCCAAGCGCCGAACGGACGGCGCCUCCGCGUUCAACACACGUACAGCCCGGGGAUGUCUCCUCCUACUUGAUCCAGCAAGGGGAGAGGAGAAGUUGAGGGAGAGCUCUGGCAAUACGACGGCGUGGUGGUGGAGCUUGUGGUUCUCCGGCAGAGCUUCGCGGCGCUAACGGAGGAGGAUGAGGAGUUGGAGGGGGGAGGGCUGCGCCAGGGGAAGGGUGCGGCUGCCCUCCCACCCCUUCACUAUUUAUAGGGGGAAGGGAAGAGGGGGCCGGCCCCCUAGAUGCAUCUAGAGGGGGGAGACUUGCCCCCCAAGCAGGUGGGAGGCGCCCCCACCCCCUAGGGUUUCCAACCCUAGGCGCCUUGGGUCCUUGGGGGGGGGGGGGGGGUGCACCAGCCCAGUAGGGGGAUGGUUCCCACACAUAUUCAGCCUACUUGGUACCCCGGGGUAGGUGGCCCCACCUGGUGGAUCCCCGGACACCUUUCGGUGGCCCGGUACAAUACCGAUAACCCCCGAAACCUUCCGGCGACUGAAACUGGACUUCCCAUAUAUAAAUCUUCACCUCUGGACCAUUNNNNNNNNNNNNNNNNNNNNNNNNNNNNNNNNNNNNNNNNNNNNNNNNNNNNNNNNNNNNNNNNNNNNNNNNNNNNNNNNNNNNNNNNNNNNNNNNNNNNNNNNNNNNNNNNNNNNNNNNNNNNNNNNNNNNNNNNNNNNNNNNNNNNNNNNNNNNNNNNNNNNNNNNNNNNNNNNNNNNNNNNNNNNNNNNNNNNNNNNNNNNNNNNNNNNNNNNNNNNNNNNNNNNNNNNNNNNNNNNNNNNNNNNNNNNNNNNNNNNNNNNNNNNNNNNNNNNNNNNNNNNNNNNNNNNNNNNNNNNNNNNNNNNNNNNNNNNNNNNNNNNNNNNNNNNNNNNNNNNNNNNNNNNNNNNNNNNNNNNNNNNNNNNNNNNNNNNNNNNNNNNNNNNNNNNNNNNNNNNNNNNNNNNNNNNNNNNNNNNNNNNNNNNNNNNNNNNNNNNNNNNNNNNNNNNNNNNNNNNNNNNNNNNNNNNNNNNNNNNNNNNNNNNNNNNNNNNNNNNNNNNNNNNNNNNNNNNNNNNNNNNNNNNNNNNNNNNNNNNNNNNNNNNNNNNNNNNNNNNNNNNNNNNNNNNNNNNNNNNNNNNNNNNNNNNNNNNCCUCCCACCCCUUCACUAUUUAUAGGGGGAAGGGAAGAGGGGGCCGGCCCCCUAGAUGCAUCUAGAGGGGGGAGACUUGCCCCCCAAGCAGGUGGGAGGCGCCCCCACCCCCUAGGGUUUCCAACCCUAGGCGCCUUGGGUCCUUGGGGGGGGGGAGGGGGUGCACCAGCCCAGUAGGGGGAUGGUUCCCACACAUAUUCAGCCUACUUGGUACCCCGGGGUAGGUGGCCCCACCUGGUGGAUCCCCGGACACCUUUCGGUGGCCCGGUACAAUACCGAUAACCCCCGAAACCUUCCGGCGACUGAAACUGGACUUCCCAUAUAUAAAUCUUCACCUCUGGACCAUUCCGGAACUCCUCAUGACGUCCGGGAUCUCAUCUAGGACUGCGAACAACCUUCAGUAACCACACACAAUUUCCCAUUACAACUCUAGCGUCACUGAACCUUAAGUGUGUAGACCCUACGGGUUCGGGAACCAUGCAGACAUGACUGAGACACCUCUCCGGCCAAUAACCAAUAGCGGGAUCUGGAUACCCAUACUGGCUCCCACAUGUUCCACGGUGAUCUCAUCGGAUGAACCACGAUGUCGGGGAUUCAAUCAAUCCCGUAUACAAUUCCCUUUGUCCAUCGGUAUGUUACUUGCCCGAGAUUCGAUCGUCGGUAUCCCUAUACCGUGUUCAAUCUCGUUAUCGGCAAGUCUCUUUACUCGUUCCGUAACACAUGACCCCAUGACUAACUCCUUUAGUCACAUUGACCUCAUUAUGAUGAUGCAUUACCGAGUGGGCCCAGAGAUACCUCUCUGUCGUACGGAGUGACAAAUCCCAGUCUCGAUUCGUGCCAACCCAACAGACACUUUUGGAGAUACCUGUAGUGCACCUUUAUAGUCACCCAGUUAUGUUGUGACGUUUGAUACACCCAAAGCAUUCCUACGGUAUCCGGGAGUUGCACAAUCUCAUGGUCUAAGGAAAAGAUACUUGACAUUAGAAAAGCUCUAGCAAACGAACUACUCGAUCUUGUGCCGUGCUUAGGAUUGGGUCUUGUCCAUGACAUCAUUCUCCUAAUGAUGUGAUCCCGUUAUCAAUGACAUCCAAUGUCCAUGGUCAGGAAACCAUAACCAUCUAUUGAUCAACGAGCUAGUCAAAUAGAGGCUCACUAGGGACAUGUUGUGGUCUAUGUAUUCACACAUGUAUUACGGUUUUCGGUUAAUACAAUUAUAGCAUGAACAAUAGACAAUUAUCAUGAACAAGGAAAUAUAAUAAUAACCAUUUUAUUAUUGCCUCUAGGGCAUAUUUCCAACAAAGUGAACAUAUUCGUAUUUCGUUUGUAUUGGCCUUGCAUUCACUAACAAUAGACAAUGAUGAUCAUUUCCCAUGUCUUUGUUUGGCAAUACACAAGCCUUUUGCCUGAGUAGGUGAAUCAAGCCUAAUAGGAGGGUGGGUGGGUUAUUGGUUGUCAAAGAGUAAUAGACAAAGCAAUGUUACUUGGUAAGAGCUCACUGAAACAUUUUACAAUCAAAGCUUCUUUCAAGAAUCCAAAUGCACACUCCCUUACAAGAAUAGGAAUGUGGCGAAAGACAUUAUCUUGAGGUGUAGGGAUUCAAGGAAGGGGGAGUUCUUGGUUGUCAAAGAAUCAAUAAGCGAAUCAUGGAACGAGUCAACAUUUCUUUCUUCUUCUCUUGCCUUGGAUCUAUGUGCAUCAUGGAUUGAGUGGAGUGCAAUGAGCUGAAUGAAGUGGUGCUGGUUGCCAGCUCAAAAAAUGGGUAUGGUAGAGAAUAUAUAGAGGAGAUCUAAAACCUGACCAUUACACGAAAGCAAAUUAGGCUCGGAAUCACCCGUAUAAAACCAGCUGAAUUAUUGAACCAGUUCAAAUAAAUUUGAACGGCUUGGUUCGUGUUCAGGAAUGUGAAGAAAUACGACACUCGAAAGUACCAACGGUAAAAAUGAGAGGGGGCUCCGAAAAAAUGGUAGCAACUUCUCUACUAGUAUAGAAUGGCUUGGAAGUAGCAGCAAAACAUAUUGCUCGGUAGUACUGUAUAGAACAGUCAUCGCAAGAUUUUUGAAAUCGGCAUAAAAGAGUUAAGACACAACUCAACAGUUUUGAACAAAAAAGAAGAGGAGGUACCGAAAUUAUAUUGUGGCGAGAGAGAGGCGAACCGAGACGACAUAGAAGUUUUGACGAAAUGUGAUCUCCUAAGUGUUGAACGAAUGAGGUGGUCAUGAAUAUAGGGGUCGACCGUUCUAGAACAAAAAGAAUGAUGAUCCCAAAUAGUUGAGUCUAGGUUUAAUAUCUGAGCAUGAAUAACCAUAAGUAGCUUGGUAGUGCCAAACAUUCUUCGGAGGUACCAGGGCUUAGAGAAAUUUAUACAAAGAUGUCUAGGGAGUGGAUUUCGGAUAAUUUUGGCUUAUGAUGUGUUUUUGGAAUUUAAACCAAAACACUUGCUUGUGCCCUCUUCAUAGUAGGGUUGUGACCUAUAUUUAAUGUGAAUCUUGGAUCCUCUAAAAACCCUUGAAAGUACAACUCUGAGCUUGAUGAGGACAACAACUAGAAAAAUUGUUUGUAUGGUUCACCAAUCAUCUCCCACAUAUAGCCAUGAACCUCAAUAUGAAAAUCAGUCCAAAGUCCUGAAACAAACUCGCUGAAACCAUUAGUCCACUCAAAUGACUUCUUCAUUAAUCAUGGAAACAACUAGGGUGGUAUGGAUAUGCCAUUUCGAUUAGCUAUAGGUGCAUGUUAGAUAGCGGUAUAUGAAUACAUGGAUGUGCGGCUUAUGUGUUAUCAUGACAUUUAUGAAUUUGCCAUGAGCAUUGCAAUUCUUCGUACAAUGUCUAUGCUUAUAUUUAUGCACAAUUGACACUUGGAGAGAUGCUACUAGUGAACAUAUGAAUCCCGGUCCAGUUUUCCACAUAUAAACUACCCUACUCUUUUGUUUACACACACUUCUAUUUUCUGCAACUAGCAAAACUACUGAGAUUGACAACCAAUACGUAGGAGAACCGAGAUGGAAUUCCAAUCAUGCUAGGAAGUGGAAUCAGAUUCAGUUGUGUAACAAGUAACAACUCCGAGGUGGAAUUUCGUCAUCAACAGUUAAAAGCCUUUGGUGGACCACAUCGGCAGAAGAUUACCUGCACCUUAUUUCUUGAAUUAGGGGAGUCGAUUGCAGCUUGUACGUUAGGCACUAUCUUCCAUGAAGAUCUACUUACCUUAUCCACCUCCUUGGGAUUCUUAAGAAAAUUGAAAGGAUUGAGCGACAAUGCUCGUGGAUACGGAAUUAAGAGACCUGUGGACAGUCUUGGAUGACGUGGGACAUGGUGUUUUGGCCCAAAUUCAAGGGGGUUCAGGUGUCAUUAACCCAAGGAUACAUAAUGAAGUUGUUUUAAUGAAGCAUCUCCAUAAAGUUUUCAACAAGUUCAAUAUGCCGUGGGUUAAGCUGGUUUGGGAUUCUUAUGAUCAUAACUUUGUGCCUCAAGCCACCACUCUUUGUGGCUCAUUCUGGUGGAGCAAUGUGUUCAAGCUUGCCGACAAGUAUCGUCACAUUCUAUGCCUGAGUUACAAGCUGGAGAUUCUGUUAUGUUUUUGUAGGUGAAAGAACUAAAAUAGAAGCAGAGGCUUCUCUCUAAGAGUGCAAGCAUUUUGAACAAGCAACCACAUGGUUUGUUAGAAAAAAUGCUCAAUGGUAAAUUUAUUUCCUAAUAGUCCAUAAAACCCGGCAUCGGGUGGCAAAGUCAAACCAAAAAAUACAAAGAACCUGGCUGAGAGAUCCGCCACCAAACGAGAGCUAGAAUUUCAACAGUUGAAUACCCCGCAAAAAAAAGAAUUUCAACAGUUGAAUGAAAAGUUUGAAUCGAUAUUCUCGCCGGUGCAACAGAUAAUUGCAAAUGCCACAUAGUAUUUCCAAAUCCAAACACAUUAAUUUAUGUCCUUUGCUUAUUUCUGUGUGUACUUGUCAACCGUGCAUGCAUGCAGACAUGCACGGCCAGUACAGCAGUCGCCAUAUGCAUGCAAGAAGCGUUUUACUUCUUGCACAUCACACGCUUGCCGUCCAUGCCACUGGCGCAGGUGACAGUACCAGCGAGCUCAGAUUGCACCGCGGCACCGUCGUUUCCACGGCUGACUCCAUAGCGCGCCACGCUGCAGUCGGCGGCGAACAGGCUGGAGGUGGUGAAGGUGGCAUCUCCUCCCAUGGUGGGCAUGGAUGCCCUCACGUCGAAAUGGUUCACGUAGUCGGAGCGGUACGUCUGUCCGACCACACCGUGGACGUCGUCGGUGAGGGCGUCGAACUUGAACGCCAGCUCGAGGUGCGCGAGGCAGUCAUCGGCGGUGACGCCGUAGCGGUGCACCCUCGAUUCCUCCCCGGUGAUGGGCACGGCGUUGGCCCUGACGCUGAACUUUCCGGCGACGGCGACGAGGACGCCGUUGGUCGCCUUGGUGCGGGUCACGGACAGCUCGGGCACGCGGCUGGACG